ACCAUGGGCCUCUGAGAAAAUCCACCCAAAUUAUCAUCACAAAUUUUACAGGGGCAUAGAAGAGAAAAAGUGCCUCCUCUAUACACGACAACUCCAAAAUUCAAUUAUCCCAUCAUCACCACUCACAAACCCCUUAGCAUUAGUGCAACCCACUCUAAACAGCAACCUGCCCUAAGGCUCCUAAACUUAUAUUGAAACCAAUUUAGAUUCUUGUAAGCACAACCAAUUGGGCCUUGUAAGGUUGGAGGAGAAAUGGAACGACCUCCCUCUUAUCCACAACAUUUGCCCUCUUAAAUUCCAUGAAUUAAUCCUAAGUUUCAUUGUCCAAUCAUGUUUGGGUUCAAGCAGCAACAGCACCUGCCUCAAUCUUCAAAUCACCACCCUCAUAAUUCACUGAGCAGGAUGGUUAUGCAAUUCUCUGUUCUUGCAUGAACUGCCUCUCCCCUUCUUUCAUAGUGUUAGAGCCCUGUUUGCCCCACCUGGAUUCUAUGUCUUAAGCAUGUCCAUACUCUCCUCCAUACGCUUUGAUCAACAGUUACAAAUACCUGUUGAAUAUCCCAAAUUUCAUUUUUGCCUGUGGUGUAGGAGCUUUCUCCACACCUUUUUGAACUCCUGAUCUGGAUUGCAUGAAAUUCCACCAGGCAGUAUAAUAGAUACCAUGUUCAUGUCAAUAGGAGGCAACACAAUACCACACCAAUCUUUCUCCAACCACACCACCAUAUUCCUCACGCAUUUUAAUGGGACUCUACCAUGGCCCAUCUUGCAAGAUCAUCUGCAAUAGUCACCUCCACUUCACUGCAAGCUUUCCUUACCUACAUUCCCAGGUGCAUCCAUUGCUCCAAUGCUUUUCUGACCUAUAAGGCCUGCUCAUCACCCACCAAACUAGAGGAAGAAGACCCCAGCAGACUUACCUAAGUUAGGAGACUCCCUUUCACAAAGAUAAGUGCUUACUGCUAAUUAGUGUCAUCACCUUUAGCUCCUCCACACCACCUUCACCUCUCAUCCCCAUAAAGGGACGAAAAGACCAACUUGAUUAACUCACAAUUUCUUUGCCUGGGCAUCAUACUGCCUCCUGUCCAGUAGAAAAGACUUGAGGAUGUCUUGCUCUCUGCUUCCAUAUGUUCUCCCUUCUCAGCCUCCAUGGGAGAUAUGAACUUAAAAAUUGCCAGCCUAAGGAGGUCAGAUUCACUUCCUUCACUUUAUUACAAUCCACCUUCAAAAUUUGAAUUACUGCCAAUGGGUUGCCAAACAAAAAACAAACACCCCUACCACCCAACAUCUUCUUGUCUACAUUGGCUACUUCUUGCUCUACUUGGCCUGGUCUUUAGUAUCUUACAGUUGUCAUUUAACAUCCUAAGCAAUGCUCAAAGCCCCCAUGGACCUUAGCUGCUACACUGCCUUCAGACACUGUUGAAAUUCCCCAUUUCCAGUUCCAUCCUCCACACGCUUUGAAUGUUUACCAGAAAAUCCCAGAUUAUGCAGCCUGCUUGGCUAAGAAUAUCGACUCAGAAAAUCUAAGCUAUCUAGGAAAAUAACAAAAUACCUCGUUAUGUCCUCUGGAAACACCAAGCCGGGCAGAUAUCAACAAUUCCCAUUUUUCAGCUCUCUUCCAUCAAGCUUAAGAUCUUUAAAUUACACAUAUCAUUUUUUCAUCCACAACAAUAAUCCAAACAGUUCAAAAGUCAUGAGAGUCCCCUAGAACCUAGUUUGUUCCGCCUUUAGUAGCCUUUUCCCGUAUUCAUGAUCUCCCCUUUAAUUUUCCCUUGCCAUUGUUUUCAUAAUUCCUCGUUUUAAUCCUAGCUGCAUCCCAAAUAUUUCAUUUCAGUUCAAUUUAUGCUGAAACCUUUAAAUUAUAAACAGCUAUCCAUAUUUCUGACUUUAUUGCUUACAUCUAGUCCAGUUUCAUCAGGUAGACAACAUGCACCACGGGACCUCAUCUUUUUUUUUUUUUCUUUUGAUCAAUAAGCAAAAGAAUUGUAUUAACGAAGAGGCACUAAAAUAGCGACCCACAGAAUUACAGUAUAGAGACACUCACCCCCUUACAAUUGGACCCAAAACAAGAAGGAAAAAACAAAAAACCUCCAGUUGUGCAGUUAAGUUCAUCCAUUGCUAAUGCAAAACGCAAGCAUCUGUGCAGCUAGAAAAUGGCAUCUCCCAUGAGUUGAUCUCUCAGGUUGUAUCCUCCAGUUGUAUGUGCAGCCCUUCAUCAAAUUAAUAAAUCUAGUUAUUCUAUUUUCUAUUUUUUUUCUUUUUUGAUCAGUAAGUGUAAUAUGUAUAUUCAAAAAGAGGCGCUAAAGAAGCGACUCAAAAAGCUACAGCAUCGAACAACUCACCCCCUUACAAAAGAACCCAAGCCACUAUGAAAGCACAAAAAACUCUCUCCCUUAACGCAUACACACCCAUUCCAUAAAAUCUAUUAAGGUCGAAGGACCAUCUUUUAUCCACAAUUUGGUUUCCGACCAUAGUAAAUACACAAAAGAAAUUUUCAGCUUUUGGAUGGACAGCACCCCAUCCUCAAAAGCAAUAGAAUUCCUAGCCUUCCAAAUAACCCAAAACAAGCAUAACGGUCCCAAAAGCCACGCCACCUUCCUCUUCUUGCCCACAAAGGAGCCUCUCCAACCUAUGAGAGUUUCCUUAACCGAAAGCGGAAAAACCCAAGAGACUCCAAAAAAAGAGAGUAGCAAAGUCCACACCUCCCUUGCUCUUCCAAACACCUAUUAGUUACAUUUGUCUUGUUAUAUACUAAUUUUGAAACAUAUAAUUUCCUCCCUGCUAUAUCUGAUGGAUAUGGACACAGGUAUGAGAUGCACAGAUUCACUGACCUAGCUCAAAAAGUAGGACCAUAGAUGUGGAAAGGACAGAACAAUAUAUUAGUAUAUGCUUACUGGUCUUUCCUCUCUUUUACUAGUCAUAUUCUUGUCUUUUGUGAGUUUGAUCUCUGUGCACUGCACUAUAUAGACGCAUGUCCAGCAGUGUGAGGGGAUUGUACUUUCCUACUUAGUAUUCACAUAGACAUGGGUCCUCUUUAAAGGCAAGCAUGCUACGGGCAUCCUGUUUAUGUUUACAUUUCAAGUUUAAGUAGUUUGUUAGUUGUUUUGAGGAUUUGUUUUGUGUUCUUUGUAAAUUGUUGCUUGUCAAUUUGCCAGCUUAAUGACUUACCAAUUUUAAUUGAAGCACUUCAUCCUGAUGCAGGGCAUUCCAGAAGAUGAUGGCAAGUCCACCAGUUCCAUUCAUGUCAACACAUGCCAUUAUUAUUUCCUACCAUGCUUUUUACUGUUCACAAGAAGUGAAAAGUUUUUAAAGCUCACCUUGGAUGUGAUGGGCUCAUUGAUAACAGAAAAUGGUUCAUCACCUUUUUCUCCUAAUUGUAUUCUAAAUGCCACUGACCAUACGAAUAGGAUAAGAGCUAUUGUUGAAAUCCUUAUAUUGAUGCACAAAGAUGUUAAAAUCCAGCGAAUUCUUUCUUCAUGCAAAUCAGAGAUUGACCAUAUUUUGCAGAACAUGCUCUUAUUACAGGUAUGAUUUUGUACAUUAAGCCAUGCAAUUCCGUUUAGUUUUUUUUUAGUUAGUUUGUGUAUUCAACUGACCUGUCUGGUCCAAGCAUCAUGGAUUUUUUUCAAGGUUAAACCAGGCAGCCAAAGCCUGCACUAUAAAUGCUAUUUAAUCACGGAUGUCAUAGAUUGUUUAUAUUUAAUAUGUAGAAUGUGCCAAAUUGAAAUGCUCAUUAAGUAUCUUUUAGCAGAAUAACUGAUUGGCCUUUAUACUGUCCGAUCUACCUGAUCUAAUAUGACUCUUUAACUCUCCAAGGAUUGCUGUAAAAAGGAAAAUGAGUCAGAAAUUCAGAGUAAAGAUUACCAUGACAAUCACAAGCUUCAUUGUAAUGAAAUCAGCCUGUUUAUUGUUUGAUCAUUAACAUGUUGAAUACUGCUGUUAUGAUUAGAUGUUUUUUUCCCUCAAGAUAGGGUAAGAACUUUAGAAUUGGACCCCUUAUAAUUCAGACCUAAUUUUAUAUUCACAAGCCUUCACAAAAUACCUUUCAAAUUCGAUUUGACCUCAUAAUCACUAGCCUUAUAUGCAAGAUAGUCUGCAAUUUUGUUGCUAUUUCUGUUGAAAAUAUCAAUAAUGGUUUUAUAAUCCAAUUAUAUGAUAAAUACCAAUCAUAUCCAAUUAUAUGAUAUAUAGAUCUACUUUCCUUCUUUUGAUCACACUUUACACAGCAGAUUUUGUAUGUGAGAAGGAUUUCUCUGUUUUCUCAGCCUUCUUUAUAUUUGUUUUCACUGGAAUAAAAUGGUUGUUUCUGAUUAAUAUUAACAUAUGCACACACACACAUAUUAUACACGCUAAAGACAUGUUGUUGUGUGUAAGUAAUAAAUUUCUUGACAUCAUUGUUACCGCAGGCUUCAAAAGGAAUGAAUAUGAGUAUCGAAGAAAGGCACAAUAUACAAUGUGCAUUUGACCGACUAAAGUGCAUAACAAGUACACUACCCAGUGCGACGCCAAUAAUCUAAAUGCAUUUUUGGAAUCCAAUAAAUUGGCCUAGUAAGUUAUCUAUCUUUCAUCUGCUUUUGUUUCACACAUUAUUCUUCAUUUAAAAGAGGUGAAAGGCAAGGUGGUUUUGGAGGUUUUGGGUUCUGUUUCUCAUGAGAAAGUUCAUGAUCCAGGGAGGGGGGAUGAUCAAUUACAAUCUUGCUUCUUUGACUCUAAAGGGCAUUCCAAUUUUAUGGUCUAAGAUAUCCUGACGCUACUGUACAGUAUGGGCAAAGGAGUCUAUAAUUCAAACUAGUCAUUGGCUUGUGCAAUGUACAUGAAACUGUUUUGUUCAAAACAGAUUGAUAAAAUAAUAUAUUCUAUGUCAACUAAAAGUGAUAUUUUUCUAAUAGGUAUAACUAGAAAGUGAUCUGAAUUUUGUUUGGCUCUUUAAUUAAUGAUCUCUUCGCCUGUCAAAGAAAACUAUGGAGUGACGUAAGGCUGCUAUAGUAAUGAAACUGUUUUUAUUUCUGAUAAAAAAAAUGAAAUUAAAAUAAAAUAAAAUGAAAGGGUUUUAGGUAUAGGAGAAAAUUAGUUGCUAUAUCCUUUGUGGUGGUUUUGAUCUGUUAUGGAAAAAAAUGAUCCCUUUACUUUAUGCAGCUGUCUCUUCUGACUCUUUUAUCUUAAAAGGGGCCAUGUGCUCCUUGGAUAGCGGUAGUCUUUCUUCUACUAAAUCCAUUGGCUCUCCCAGAGCCUGGGUUCCAUGUUGGAUUCUGUUGGGUGAUUCCUAGUGAGAUUCCAUUGGUGUUUGGGGUUGCUUUCUGGGUUUUUUCAGCAUAUAAGUUUUAUUGUCUGAUGCUUCUAAUGAUACGCAAUAACUUGAACCUAUACAGGAGAAUGCCCAUUGAAACAUCUCAUCGAGUAUUUAAUACAAUGUUUUGUAACAGAAGUGUGACUAAUUUUCUCUCAUUUUUCUUGUGCCUUCUUUCAGCUUUGUAUUUUACAAGAAUGGAGAGAACAUGGAGAAUCGGAUAUGUUGUUGGCAAGAUGUGGAAUUGGGAUGUGUUGUUAAAUCAACUAGUAUAUGUCACCAUAAUCUCAAGAUGACAAGGUGAAUUCACUCUGAUUCAACUUAUCCGAGUCAUGCCAGAAUUAUACCUAGUGGUCUUCAAUCACAUGCUUGUAUUCUUCAGAGUCAAAAGUGAGUGCAAUUUUGAGCCGUAGAUAAGGUAAUCAUCCCCCUUUCUUGGCCUUUUCCUUGGUUUUUUUCCUCUCCUUUUCUUCUGCAUGGCAAUUGCCUACGCACUUCAUCAUAUAGUUGAGUUAUAAGAUAUAUACUUAUAGUUGAUGAGAUUUUGUAGAAAAUUUUGGAAUUGCCCCAAACUGAUAAGAUGGCAUGAGGUUGAAUGCACACAAUUUUGGGAGUUGACUCAUAAGUUAAAAUGAUUCAAUGGAGUAGACGUAUUACACAAAUUUACCUCUCCGAGUGAAUAUUAAUAAAACGCACCAACAAUUGAGCAAUAUUUGGUCUUCUAAUUAUUCAGUGAUGUUCUUUGUUGUUGAAAGUCAAAAGAACAAUUUAUCAUCCGAAAAUCUGUUGAUUGAAAACCAUUUGUUUUCAAGACUAGUUAUAUUAGAAAGUUGAUUGUAGUAUGGGAUCAAGGACUAUUAUUGCCGAGGUUGGGUGAGUGAGAUUUUAUGUAUUGACCCUUUAAGUUCAUAUUUACAGAUUCUCAUUACCUCAUUAAGCAAAAUAAGAUGAGGGAUGGAUGAUACCUGAAUUGCCUGAUUCUUCUACAGCCCAAUACCCGAUAAUAUUUUUAAAGCGCCUAUCAUUUGUGAUGGUAAACUUCGGCAAGCACUCUUCUUACACAACGUGUGCUUGUCAGAAAAAUUAUUGAUGGAUUUAAUUUCCAGGAGGUUUGACCGUGGCCCAAGUAUCUUUUCAACUGCAACACCAAAGUCCCUAUGGGCCAUUAUGCAUUUAAUCCAUUUUACCCAAACGUCAUAUCAUCAAGAUAUCCAAAACGGUGCCGUAGAGGUUAUUUUGAUAAUAUGUCUAAAUACAAACUUCCAUAUUUUUUUGCGGUCGAAGUGAUUUGCCCUCACGCUUGAUCAAGAGAUCCGGACUAGUUUCCAUUUGAGAAAGUUAAAUUUACAGCCUGCUUGAGAGAAAUUAAGGAAUGGUAGGAUCAGACAAUGAAAUAUCGGAGUAUUCAAUUAAUUUGCUAAGAAAAACUCAAAAUGAAUUUUAAUAUUUUACCAUCUGAUUAAGUCAUCCAAAAAAAAUCAUAAAUGUACAAAUGCAUGCAGGUAGGUGUCCUCUUCAUGAUGGUAUGCACUGAAAUUCGCAUUAGGUGAGACCCACAAGUUCAUUUGACAUUUGCCAUAAUCAUCCCUUAAAUGAAAAUGACUAAAAUGUCUUCAUUAAUUUGCAUCAUGGUCCAUGCUUUUCGUUUUAUAUGCUUCUGCAAGUAAAGGGCAUUUAUCUUUACAGGCCUCGCUCAACCAGGUCCAUAUGCAUAUGAUGGUGGAGCUCACUUAAUCGUGUGUUACACCGCUAUCCCCCAGGAUCCCAGCCAAGCAAAUUGGGCCCACCAAACAUUCAUGGCUCACUUAUUCUUAGGUAAGCUGGUGGUGUACCACUUCCAGGAUUGGCCUUCCCAACCUAAAACCUCUCAUUUGAUGAUCAAUUUGUUUGCUUUCAGGAAAGCAUAGUCCAGCCAAUAAUGUGCCUGUGUGCAUGGUUCACCUCAAACAAAUCCAGAAAUUUGCCAAGUCUUGUUUUACAUUAACCAGCAGUCACCCGUUGCCCUGAAACUAACUUCUUUAGUGACAAAUUUGAACCUGAAUACAAACAGGUUUGUAUGAUUAAAAGCUAGUGAGAAAGGCGAGUGAAAAAUAACAAACCAAAACUAAGAAAUCAAGUAGACAUAUAGCAGAAAUAUGAACUGCCAUGCCUACAUGCUUGAAACCAAGGCCAUAUCAACAGAUCAAGUAUGUGAGCUGGAACAUGAUUUGAGUGAUGAAAAACAAAUGAUUAUGGGUGUUAUUUAUUCUAAGAUAACAUUUGGGUCCUGCAUUUGUUCCUACUAGACAACAAUUUCCAGGUGUUAUUAGUAGUAAUCCCAAAUGUCAAGAAAACUAAACAAUUUUCACAUCAAUGGCAACCCCUUAGGGUCUGAAAAGCUUGGUCGGCGCAAUCAUUCAAGUGAACCAUUGAAUUCUGAAUUCCUUGCAUUGGAGUGAAUACAAGAGAGAGCAAUAUCAGUUUCAUCCUUAAUCAGGUUUUUUAAAUUAUUUAAUGAGAGCAAAAUUUGCAACUAAUAGAUUUUGGUAAUAUAAAUUCAUUAGUCAUAAUUGUAUUCUCCUGAAGAAGGGGAUACUCAAAAUAUUACCAAUAUGAUCAGGACACCAAAAGAUUAACUGGACUGGAAAUUGAGAACAAAGAAAAUGAAAAAGAAACAGGACUGAGGAAUAGAAUAGAAGCUUAAUACAAAUUCCCAAUGCAAUUUAGAAGAUUCUAUGAAAUAAUAAACUGUAAUUUUUUUUUCUGAAAUGACAUAUGCACUUGUUUGCCAUAUCAGAGUAAAGCAAACUACUACAAAGUAGCUAAUCUGUCAUCCGAAAAAUAAGAAGUAGAGGACAAACAAAUCUAAAUAUACAAACCUCUGCAAGAAUUUCUACUGAAAGAACUUCCAUUUCUUCUCACAAUCCUGAGACUGGUGCAAGCCUCGGAUGUUCACCUUACCAGCACAUCCCUGUAUCAGAUUCAUCUCAUGAAGCCAUUUGUAUGUAACUGAAAAAAAAAUUAAAAAAAAUGCUGUAUUAGAUUCAUGAAAACGACCCAAGGAGCACAACCAACGAGGCACCCUUUAUGAGAUUGUUAAAUUUUGAAUGGUAGCCUUUCAUUGUUAAAUUUGACUCCUAGUAUUUCAUGCAAGGAAAUGCAUUUGUUCCCAAAAAAAAUAACCCGGUCAACACAGGUUUAAGAUCAAAGUAUUGCUUUAAAUUUCAAUUGUUUAUGAUAAAUAAGAGUGUAGAAAUCAACAACCCAAAAUUUUUUCCAUAUUUUCCUUCUAAAAACAAACUUAAGAUUAAGAAGUUGGUGAUGCUUAUGUCUCACCCAUCAAAGGACCAAAGAAAAAAAAAAUCAACCUCUGGUUCUUGCAUCUCAAAACUAUGCAACUAAAAUAUAAUUGUGUGAAUAAAUAUAAUAGAACAAGGGCUCCCCCUUAUUUCUUUUGGUCUAAGCUUUGAAAAGAUUGGAGGGACAGGAAUGCCAAUUUGCUAUCCAUCUGAUCACUAACUUUUGUAAUACAUCUAUUUAUGAUUCAUACGAUGGUGUCUGCAUAUCAUACAAGGUAGUUGUGUUGUAACUCCCAGCUAAACUUGGUAUGCCAAAUUUUGGCAUUCAUGUCCCUUGUGCCAAACCUCGUCGACUCAUGGAGACACGUGUAAGUUCUCAGGCCACUUUGGAGAAACCAACCUCAUCCCACCAUUUCCAUCAUUUCAGUUCAAUGUUGUUCGCUUUUAGUAAUUUCACCACAACACGCAAUUGCUUUCCUUUCAUAAUUUAUGUUGAAAUUUAGCAAAAAUAGUGAUAAUUUGAUAGAAAUCAUCCCCUCUUCUCUCCCCCUCUCCUCUCGAAAUCAGUAUUUCUAUAUAUAUAAAGAGAGAGCGCGCUACCUUUCUGGACGAGCAAAUGAGACAAACUCCUCGUUUCUUCUACAACCUUCCAGAGGAACUUCCAUGAAGGACGAUGAAAGGGAUCCCCAAGCACUGCGAGACUGAGUGGCAUGAAUGUGAAUCGAUUCAGAUGGGAAGGGCAAUAUCGUCACAAAAAAUUAAUAUGUGACGAUAAAAUAGCGAACUAGACGCCACUGCUCGAUGAGUGGAUGACUUGGGAAGCAAGCAACUAAUGAGAGUAGGAGCCUUUGAAGCUUCUUUCGUCAUCUGGUUUAUACCAUAAAAAUCAGAUUCAUGUUCCGUAAAUACCCCCACCGCCUUAAUUUAAUUACUAUUUCAGGUCUAAAACCCCACCACGCCUCGCGCCUUUUAUAAAACCCUUUCUGUUGCAAUAUUUCCUUGUUAAUGUUUUCAGCCGACGGGAUUCGCCGUGGUCUGCAGGUAAGAUGAUGGAGAUCAACGCCGGGGUCUCUUUUCCGGUCGUCUUCUUCGAUGGGGAACGGGAAAUCAACAUCGGAGACGUCGUUGUGUUUCCGUCGAUGGAGUUUAAGAAUUUCCAAUCAAUUCUGAGCCAGAAAAUUGGAAUCUCUCCACACCAGAUCUCCAUCUUCCUUGACUGUCAGAGGAAAUCGCGAUCAUCCAUGGAAACACGUCGGAGAAUUCCUAUUACCGGUAAGGUGAGUUUCUCUGCAAUUCUUCGCGAGAAGGAUUGCUUCUUUCUUGUGGUCUUGAAGCGAUCAAGGAGAGAAAGAAGGCGAAAAUCAAGACUUCUUAACGAAGUGGAAGAAGAAGAAGAGAACUUCACGACGCGGAAUACAGUAGCGCCGCCUCAGAAACUGCAUCUUCUCCGGCGAAACCAAGAGACAACCGAUCAAACAUUUUCAGGCUUCGUUUCGCCGUAUUACGAUCAGAUUAUGCCUUCGGACGACCUGUUCGUGGGAUCGCAGUUUCUAAAUUAUAAUAAUCGUCUCCAGAAUUUGCAGAUUCAACGAGAGAAGUAUUUGCGCUCUACCAAUUUGCAUUCGAUACCGAAUGAGAACUAUGACUUCCCGGUGACGAAUAAUCGAAUCGGAAGAGAUGUGAUAGUGUGCGAGGAGUGUGUGAAGGCGAUGACGAUGGGAAAACCGGUUCCCUUCCACUGGUGCGUGUACGACGCCGUCACUGUAGGGUUCCGAUCACCGGCCGGACCAAUUGCGAGGCCUGUCAAACGUUCCAAUUAGGGUUUGAAGGUCCACGUUUUUAUUUUAUUUUAUUUUGUUAUUUUGAUGAUGAUGAUGAUGAUGAUGAUUUGAAUUGAACCCAAGGAGACUUCCGAUUUAGGCUUUCUGCUUAGGAACAGGAAACAAUAGUGUUGGGGGGUGGUGAUGGUGGUGCGAUGUGGCAUACGAUAAGGAAGGUAUACCACACGCGAUACCACAUAGAUUACAGAAGAUACUAGGACUAGGAAAUUAUACAAGUGUUGAUAUACGUGUAUGGAAAAACGCCCUUUGGGAAAGGGUCCAAGUUGACAGAUCUUUUUCUGUAUUUUUCUUUUUUUCUUUGGAUUCUUGAGAGAGUGAGAAGCUCUGCUUCAUUGCUUGAAAUGGUGAGACACACCACUUGGAAUUGUUUUCCACCCCAUUCCAUUUUCAGGAUCGUAACACUACUUUGGGAUUAGGCCCUACAGGAAUUUAAUUCCCAUUGGCGUUUUGAUUGGAAAUUUGGUAUAUGAAUGAAUUGUCAUCGUCUCUUUUCUUUUCUGGGUUCAUGGCUUACCAUUUUUACUUGUAUUUUAAUGGAAAUGUUGUAUUUUUUUAUAGUUUUGGUCAUAUUUUAUAUUGGAUGGUGGUGGUGGUGGUGGUUGUUGUUCUUGUUAUUUGUAGGAGAGGGGCCUUGUCAUGGAUGACUAAUUGGAAAUUAUUGGUGUUGGUUGGGAAUUAUAUUAUUGGCACAUUAGAAUUUUCAAUUUUUGAUAUUUUUUGUGAAGAUUAAUUGUAUUCUUGUAGUUUUUGGGUGUCAUGUGAAUUUUUCUGAGGGAGGCACAUGGCGCAUUCUCUAUCACAGAUGAAAUAAUGGCCACGGAUGGGAGGAGUUUGUCAGAAGAUAACUUAAGACUAAUAAAUAGAGUUGUUAAGAUGUAAAUUGUUACUAUAUGUGUGAAAAUAACAUAUGCAUGUGGUUAUUAUUAUGUGUACAGGCUCUUCUUUAGGUCUUAAUGAUGAUAAGGAUUUGAUAUGCAGUCUACUUAAUGGUAAUUACUAAUUGCCUUGAAAACUGACUUAAAAGAGUUCGCAGUAAAAUAUGAUUUUGACCUUUUUCAAAAAGGAUACAAGGAUCGAGGGAUAGUGAUUAACAUUAACAGCACUGAAAAUUAAUGAAGAUUUAAAAAAAUUAAAAAAAAAAUAGAACUCCGAAACAUAAUUUAUACUCAUCUUAGAAAAAUUUCUUAUAUUUUUUAGCAACUAAACAUAUUUAGAAAUCAUAAUGAUUAUCCAAUUACCAAUUUCCUACAAAUUACAUAUUAAUCAUUAUCAAAAUUUAUCAUAAUAAUAAAUUAUGAUAUCUUGAAAUAUUUGAAAUAAUGUUAAAUUACUAUUUUUUUAAUUAUUAUUUUUAAAAUUAAAAUAAAAACAAAUAUAAUAAUUAUGUUUAUAAAUAUUUUAACAUGUAAAAAUAAAUAGAUCUAACAUUUAACAAUCAAUAGUAUUCUAAUAUUAAUAAAAAAAUAAACAUUUAAUGGUAACUUAUAAAAACUACCUUCCAAUUAUUAUUAUUAUUUUUUUCUCAAUUUCUUAUCCUCUCAUUUCCCCUUCCUUGUGCAAACCAUUAAGGCUAUGUUUUGGUAGCAAAAAACAUCAAGAAAAAAAAAUACUUUUAUCAAUUUUAUUACAAAAACCACAAAAAAAAUAAAAUAUAAUUAAAAUUAGUUCUAAGUUUAUAUAUUUUAAUUAUUUAGUCCAAUGAGAAAAAUAAGUGAAAUAAGAUUAAAAUUUUAUAUAAAAAUAUUUUAUUAACUUUAAAUUUAUAUUUUUAUUAGGUUAUGUUUUAUGAUAAAAUAAAGUUAUCCAAAGAUCUUAAGGCUAUGUUUGUUUUUUUUAAAUUUUUGAAGGAAAACAAAUAGUAGGGAAAAAAAAAAAAAGAUAAUAAAUAAAUAAAUUUAAAUUUAAUAAAUUAUUUUUAUAUAUUACUUCAAACUAAUUUCACUUAUUUUUUUCAUUAUAUUUAAAAAUAAAAUAUUGUAAUAUGCGUAAAGUUUUAACUAAAUUUAAUUUUAUAUGUUUAUAUUUUUUAUAAUUAAACCACAAAAAAUCAUGUUUUUUUAACUAUUUUGUUUCUUUUCUCACUACCGUUUUGAAGCCAACACAUUCUCCAACAAUAUAAAUUUUAAUUCCAUAUUCAUCUUAACAUUCAACACCAAAAUAAUAAUAAUAAUAAAAUAAAAAAUCAUUUUCUUUUUCAAAAUUAUAGAUAUAAAUUUAUUUUACCAUAUUUUUCUUAUUAUUUUCCAAAAAGUAUUUUAAUAUCAAUCGUGUAUAGUAAAAUUGGUUUAGGUAUAUAUUUUUAUCUUACAAAUAUAUAUAUUAUGCUAAAAAACACGUGUUAAUAUUUUUCCCACUAAAACGUUAUAAAGUGUUUUUGACGUUGAAAAUCUUAAAACAAAUACUAACAUUUUAGUUUGGGAAGUGUUAUUAAAAAUAGGUUUCUAUUUUUUAUAAUAAAAAAUAAAAAAACACCUUUAACAAAAUUUUGAAUUAAAAAUAGUUAUUUUUAAGGAUUUCUUUACAAGACAUUGUUAUAUAAAUAAUUAAAAAUUAUUUAUAAAUACGAUUUCAAAAUUACUUUUUUGAGACCUCUUUACGUUAGUAAUGAAAAUCCUGAUUUUAAUAUUAUAAGUAAUCAGUAAUUAUUAGAAAUGAAAUCAGAAUUUUUUCUUAUUUUUAUUUUUAGUAUAAAAUUUUUGGAAUAAUAAUAAUAAUAAUAAUAUGUUCGCAUUACAUUUUCAGAAAACAAAGUACGCUAUUGGUUGGGUUUUUGAAUUAAAAAGCAAGUUGACAACUGUUGAACCGCAUCUUCUACCAACCAAGGGUCUAUGCCAGUCGACUGUACAUCACGUGCAUAUCAACGACCAUAAGAAAGCAGGUUUCAAGCCAAGAUUGGCGAGUGGGGGCUAUUUCCUACUCGAGAGCGUGCAGAAGGCAUGGAAAUAAGACAGAAAGGAGAGGGGGGUUUUGCUGGGGGUUUUUGAAGAGCCAAAACGGCAAAACGGGCGAGUUAGUGGAGAUUGUAGAGCGCCGAGGAAAUCGCAGAGGGGGAGUGGUCACGUGAGUGCAGUACUCUUUCUUUCUCUCUAGCGAAGAUGAAAGAGAUUGCCGUAGCGCGUAUUCCCUCUCUUAUUUCUGGAGAGAGAAAAUCGUAACGUCAUUUUGAAAGCUGAGCGCUCUCUCUCGGUUCUCUCUCUUUAGCCUCCCUCCGUUCCCCAGAUGAACAUUUUGGUUUCAAACCCUUGAAAUUCCCUCUCUUCUCUCAUCUUCUUUUGUCUUCUCUCGAAGUUGGGUUUUGCUAGGGUUCCAAUCCUUUGUUUUAUGCUUUUUAAAAAUGGCGGAGUUUCCUCCAAAUUUAGAUGAUGGAGAACUAUGGCUUCCUUCUGAUAUUUUCCCAGAGGAAGUUCCUUCUAAAUUUGGGACCCACCACUUGCCUUCUGAGUUCGCUUACAUGAGCGACAUCGCUCGGCAGUUUGCUGCUUUCACUUUGCUUCAGCCGCCCCAGACCCAUCCUAAACAUCCUCUAAACUUGGCACCAAACUUGGAGGUUACUCUCUGUCCCUUGUGUUCUCUAUUUAACUAAGCUUCAGAGGAUUUGCAUUCACGUUGAUGCUUUGAUUUGUGGGUUUGCAGCGGUUGAGACCGAUGAUUAGGUAUGGGCCGUAUGGCCGUCCCGGUUGUAGCACCACUGUUGCAGUAACUGGAAUUGGUGACAGCCCUUGUGUGUGUGACAGUCCUUGUGGGUGUGACUGCCGACUCCGGAGCUGCUGGGACGGUGGUAGGCCGUUGUACGAGUACCGCAAUGUGAAACCGCCUCAACCCCAGGUAAAAAAAAGGGGAAAAACUGCGAAAAGGACCGUUUGUGUUGAGUCAUUUCAAAGCUUUUCACUUUUUCAGCUUUAAUACACAGGUCGAUAGCUUUCUGCAAACAAGGACUUUGGCUCUGCAGAGGCACCAAAACCGCUUUCAGAACCGGUCUUUGCCGUUUCAGAGAAGCGGGUCUGGGUUGGGUGGUGGUGGUGGUGGUGGUGGUGGUUUUGGUUUUGUGAGAAACUAUGGAGGGACAGGUGUGUUUCUUCCCCGUAUUUCAUCCACAACCACCACUUCUCCAAACCCCACCGCCACUGAUGACUCUAGAAAGAAACAAGGUGAGUUGUUACCGUUUUUCUUUCUUUGGGCACUUUUGAUAUAUUUGGUGUGGAUAUCUGCGUUUUCCGCUUUAGGUCUGCUAUUAUGUCUUUUGUUUAUUUUAGUUCCCCAUAUUUUAUUGCUUUUGCUUGUCGCCUUUGUCUUCAAAACAUAGAACCAGCUUCAAAUUCUUUAUCUGGGUUUUGCUUCGUUGGGAAUCUGGAACCAUUUUUCUUUUCCUUUUUUUUUAUCAAAAAGAAAAUUACUUUCAGACUUUAGGAGGCAUUUAUUGUGGUGAACUGUUGUUGGUUCCAGUCUUCUUUCAGUUUUUUCUUUUGUAGUUUUUCAAAUCUCAGUCAAAGAAAGCACUAAUUUGCAACUGCUCAAUUCAGAUGCUUGACAGUUACUAUGUUCAUAACCUCCUGUUUUUCUUGAAUUUUGUCAUUUAUUUCGGUUAUAGUUUAAUAGUUUAUUGGGUCUGGCAUUUCUGUUGAAAUUGUUUUGUCCAUCUAUCAAUAUGAGCCUGCUGCCCAUGGUGUGGUGCCAAUGCAGCUUAUUAUAAUGCUUAACAAACCAAUGGACUGAAAUAUAUCUAAUAAAACUUUGUCGCCUUUCAUUACAAGUCUGAUAAAGAAGUCAGUGAAUCUAAUUGACAAACAAAAUGUCUUUAGCAAUCUAUAUGGAUUUCUUCUUCUCUUAUUCCACAUCUCUUUUGUUGAUAUCAUUAUUCCUUGUCUAUGGUUGCCUGGUCCAGAAUAUGAAAAUGAACAAUUUUAAGGAUAAUUUGCGAUAUUUUGUUUUCAUUUAUCUUAAUCUAAGGAUGAAACAUUGGCAGGCAUGAACAAUUGGCAUGGGAUGCAAGUCAGUUUACCGAGGAAACCAACCAUGAAUGGCAUUGGUGGGGGGAAACAAGAGGAGUGCAUCCGCCAGCUUCCUCCUGAGCUUGCCUUGCCUCAAGACUGGACCUACUGAGUUCCUCUUCUUCCUUGUAAAGAGUUACUCUAGUGGCAGUGUGGAACAUAAGGAAAUAAGAGCUCUAAGCAGGACAGAAGUCAAAUAAUCAUUUGGGUUUUGUGUAGAACUAAUAGAAAUUACUAUUAAAGCUGAAGUGGGUAAUCCUUUCUUUUAGUAAGGCUCUAUAACUUUGUAGAAUAAAUAAUGGGUUUGAAGCUUUUUGUAGGAAUUUGCAUUGUUUCGUUAUUUACAUUACUGUCAGCCCUCAGAAAACAUUGUUUCUGCCCUAUUGUUUUCUUCUUUGUGCAGUAUUGAAUGCUUAUAGCUGGAAUAACACAGCACUGCUAAAAGGACUAUUGCUUCUUGUGUUGGGCUUUCAGUUGGUGAAUCCAUGAAAGGCACAUUAAUGACUCUGCUGCAGUCAUGGAAUGUUAAUUGAAAUCUGCCAACCUUUAGGAAAUUUUUGUGUGUAAUUUUCUCAAGGCAAUUUUCAGUGGUGGAUUUUUGGGUUUGGAAUCAUUCAUAGGGUAUUGAUGAUUUUUUUCCCUCCAAGCAAAUGGUUUGAAUUGUAUAGUCUUUACAGCCUGUUCACAAUACCAGCUUUUAUAGGAAGGAAAUAAAUGAGUUACUUAGAUGCCAACUUGAAACCAACCUUACGAUGAAGUUGAAAGCUUAUGAAUAGGGAAGGGCUUUUUGUGGAAAUUUUUAUUACACCAGUCCGAACUUUAUGAAUUGUUUUUACUUUUUGUUUCUCUCUUCUAAGGAAAAUUUAUGAAUGCCCUCGCUCACUUCAACUGCCUUCAUUCUCAUCCUAUUUAUGCGCUUGAAGCAGAUACCCAAUUCACUUAAUGUAUGGUGUGCCCAUCCAUCUAAACCUAAUAUACCUUAACUACUACCCCAUAUGGGUUUUAUGGAGCAGUGUAUUUUUAAAAAAUUCAUAAUAUAAAAAAUAAUUCUAAAUUUAUGAUAUCUUUGAAUUUUGAAUAAAAUUGAGUUUACUUUUACAUUGAACUCCUUUUUUGAAAUGGGUGAAUUUAAUGUAAAAAAACAAGUUUAAUGUAGAAAAUGUAAACUUUUUUUUUUUUAAAUAUGAGUAAUAAAAAAAAAUUAAGUUCAAAAGAAGAAUUCAAUAUAAAAAGUUUUAAAGUUAAAAGGAAAUUCAUUUUCUUAAGAAAAAAGAGUAGAAAAAAUAACGAGUUUAGUACAAAAAUAAAAGAAGUGUUGAAAAGUUCUGUAUUUUUAUAUUUGUUUUUAAAUAAUUAUAUUUCAAUAAUAUUUUAUUUUUUAAAAUCCCCUAUUCUCAGGACGGUCACAUGAAUGCAUUUACAAAAAAAAGAGAAUUGUCGUUGUCAUUACAAUUGUUUUAAGAAAAUUAAUUUAUUAUAUAAAAAGGAAUGUUUUAAAUUUAAAUAAAAUUAUUUCUUUAAUUUAAAGAAAAUAUUUAAAUUAUUUUAAAAUUUUAUAAAUAUUAAUUUAAUAAAAAAAAAACUUGCUAUUUGAAUUUACAUAAAAUUGCAUUUAUUCCUUCCUUUUAAAAAAAAGUAAUAAAUGAAACAUGAUUUAUUUUAUUUGUAGAUAUGAAGGGUAUUUUUAUGUACAUAUGUCGUGCGAACCUUUUCGUUGUGACAGAGGAGGAGCCCAAUGUGCAUAAUAAUGACAAUUGUCCAUCCAAUUACAUCAAUGAUAUGGCAUAAAAAUACAUAAUUUUCAUUUUUUUCAAAUAUAUAUGUGAUGUAAUAUACAAAAAGUUAAAUGAUGAAAUUUAAUAAAGAGUAAUGUUUGCAUGACCGUGUACAUUAGUAAUCUCAUGAAAUUGAAGCUUUCAAUUUGACAGAAUGAUAUGUUAUUUUUUAUUUAUGAGAAGAUUUCAUCUCUUAUUUAGUAAAUUUGUAUUAAGGGUUUAGUGACAUUUUCAUAUGGAUUUAGUAAUCUGAUCUUUAUUUAUACACUUCUCGAUAGAUGAUAGCUUAAGACAAAUACAUUUCAUCUGGCAUACGAGGAGAUGAUUAUUACAUUAAAGGACUCGUCGAUCAUCCUUAGCAUCCUUAUAUCGAGUAUAAUCAUAUUUACCACAAUAUAUGAUAAUGAUCAUACUAUGACAUAACUAGUUAAUAGAAUACUUGAGUUGUUAAGUCUAAUGUCUAAAUAAAGUUAUACAUGUAUAGAAAAUAGUCAAUUUGUUUAAGAUGGUUGAGAGAGCUUUAUAGUGAUGUUACUAUGUAGACGAGUGAUAAUAGGGUCCAAUAACUUGCUCAAGAUACACUUACAUAUCUAUCUCAUUAGUUAAGCCUUAUGACACAACGAUAUGUCAAAUCAAUUGUUGGAUACACAACAUUACUUGAGAUAUAGUCAUAAACAUCAAUAUUUCUCUUAUACUACAUUAUCAUGCAAAAGAAGAGUACUUUAAACUCUCAUAGGGCUGGGGAUAUGGGUAUAUCCCUAUAUUUGGAUCUCACCAAAAUAUAUAAUUUGUAUGAUCCAUUAGGAUUGCUUUUGCCAUCUAUGCAAGAGCGAUUAGAUGUCCUAUCCAUAGAUAAUAUAAGACAUUGUAAUUCAUAUAUUUUUUUUCCCAUAUAUAUAUAUAUAUAUAUAUAUAUGUAUAUAAUGUGGUUGAAUCUAUUGUUCAUGCAUUUUUUUUAGUUUAUUUUGGAUCCCCAUAUAUUUAUCCAAUUUAGUUAUUGAGCCACAAAUUAUAUCAGACUGUCGAGUAAGAAUAGCAAUGAGACAAGUCUUUUAAGUUUGUUUCAUCUCAAUUAUAUGUAUAAUUAAAUAAAAAAGAAUUUAAUUCAACUUUUUUUUUUGGGUUUUUUUAACACAAAAUAAAAAUAAUUUAUUUUUUAGUAAAAAAAAUUAUAAAAAAUUACAACAUUUUUUUAUUUAUAAAUUAUAAUCAUUUUAAUAAAAUAAAAAUCUUUAAAAAAAAUAAAUAAAUGGGGCUAAGCAAGUUGAUUCGAGAAUUUUCACUAUCCACCACGAUUUUCACAAUACAUUGUGACUUACUUGGUUUAUUUUUUAUUUUUGGAUCGAGGACGAGAAUUGAUUUAAGUAAUUGAGGUGGGAUUAGGAUGGAAGUGACAUGUUUUGUUUUCAUCAUUGAGUCCUAUCAUCCAAAUAGAGAAUUGAUGUUAUUUGGUACGGUACCGUCCAAAGCAAGAGCACCGUUUUCACCUUUUAACCAUUAUAAAGGUGUUAGCAUGGUUAUGAAUGCAUACUUUGACUAGAUCUAAGAUCAUUUGGAUGAUUGCAUAUCAUAUGCUAUCAUGUAUGGUGUACUUGUGAUGUAUUCAUUAGAUUGUGCUCUUUAUUAUAUGCAUUAAUACAAAUGGGUCUCACUCAUAUGCGUACAAAAGCCAUAUUGAAGUUAGUGGCUAUCCUAUUUCAACAGCAUGUAUAAAUAACUAAGCACAUCGUGCAACUGACUUAGAGACAUGAAAUUAUCGUAGAAAUUUAGAAAUUGUUUGGUAACUGUCUUUUAAAAUAAUUUUUUGUUCUUUAAAAUGAAAAAGUAAAAAAAUAUUUGAUAAUUAGAAAACUAUUUUUUGUUUUUUUGUUUUUAAAAAUAGAAAAUAAAGUGUUUUUAAAAAACGUCUUUUAAUUGUUUUUAAUUAUUUUUUUAUGUUUUAUGAGGAUUAUUUUAAAAAAUAAUUAUAUAAAUAUGUAAAAUAAUUAAAAAUAAAGUAUUAAAUAUAAAAAUUAUUUUUAAAAAUAUUAAAAACAUUUCAAGUUCUCAAACAAACUUUUAUUCUACAAAACAUCAUAAAAUAGUUUUUAAAGAUUAUUCUAAAAAAUUGUUUUCGAAAAUAGUUAUCAAAUAAGGUCUUAACAUGAAUAAACUUAUACCAAAGCAUGGAACAUAUUGAAAAAUUAUUUUGGUCGCCUUUAGGGAUGACAAUUGAGCGGGUUUGAGAUGAGACACUUUUAUCCCAUGCUCAUCUUAAUCAUAUAAUUAUUAUGAAAUAAAAGCUAAUUAAUUAAGUAAAAACACUCCAGAGGAGGGUGAAUUGAGUUUUAAAAUUUUUUUUUCAAAAACUAUUCUCAGGUUAUAUUGAAAAAAAUUAAUAGAAAUGAAGAGAUGAGAGUUAAAGAGAUUGCAAACUCAAAUUUUAUAGUAGUUCAUCCAAUUUCGCCUAUGUCCACUCUCCUUAAGUUUUUUCCAAGUGAGGGUUCUACUAGUAUGAAGCUUCAAUCAAGCUUUCAAGUCUUUACAAUUGGAUUUCCCGGCUCUAAUGAACACUACAAUCAAUCCUUCAAGUUUAUCCCCUACUUCAAGACUAAGCAUUCAACCUUACUUGAAUAAUAAAGAUUUAAAGCACUUAAAUCUAGCACAAUUAAUAAACAAGUACAAAAAAGACUAGGAUGAACACAAAGGUACACUAGAAAUGAAUUGCAAGUGAUAGCUUAAUAUACAAAUGAGAUAAUGAGAGCUUUGAAAGUGAGAAACAAGUAGGUAGAUAGUUUAAUGUAGGUGUUCUCUUAUUAAUAAAUGAAUAAGAGCUCUCUAUUUAUAAGUUUUUAACCUCAAGCAUAAAAGUACACUAAUAAACUUUUCUCAAUUGAGUUUCAAUCAAUUGGCUGACUAGUCAGUAGACAAUUAAUGUUUGACAGGUGAUUAUUAGAGAUUCGACUAGAACUUGACUGGGAAGAGGUACCCAUCGACUAAGAAGACAUUUCUCUCGGUCGGGAGAGUAAUCUUUUUGGAAGAAAGAGAAAAUUUUUGCACCCCUCAAUUGGUAUUUGAUUGAGAAAGGGUAACCAAUCAACCAAUUCUUUAUUUGGUUCAGUAGGUUCAACCCAUCCUCCACCUAUUGGAUAUAUUUUGUUCAAAAACCUAUCUUUUUCCAUCUUUAAUAAUUUUUAUAAAACAAAUUUGAGAAGUUUUUUUACUAAGGUUUUGGAUUAAUACUUGAGUUUAUAAAAAAAUACGAUUUUUUAAGUCUAAAACGAGUAUGAAAAAGAUGCAUUUAUGAAUUCAAAUUCCUAAUUGCACCCAAGUGAUCACCUUACAUUGAGUCUCUAUGCUUUGAAUAAUCUUCAUGCUCUUUUGAACUUGCAUCUCUUAGAUCGUUAACUUGAUUUCUCAUUUGAAUUAUUUGAUUAAUACUUGAAGUUUAUCUUGAUUUGAAAUGUUAGUAUACUAAGUUAUCAUCAAAAUAUAAUUAGGGAACAUUUAGGCCAACAAUUAUUUUUUAUACUUGUCCCAAACCCAAAAUGGGAUGGGUAGAAGGAUUCUCGUUAAACAUAAUAAUCUUGUUCUUGGCACACCCCAUCAAACUAUAUCUUUGAUGUACCUCCAACUCUAAUUGGUCAUGUUCUUUCUCAAGCUUUAGUUUUUUUUUUUGUAAAAUAAGUAAUAUAAAAAAAUAAAAAUUUUGAUUAUAAAAAUUAAAUUUAUGGUAUAUGAGUUAUGCAUCUCUUAUAUCUUAACUUAAAAUUAAUAUAGAUAUAAAAAAGAUAGUAAAUAAUAUAUCUCACUAUUCAUCAUAUAAUAUGUUUAAUCAAAUAUGAAAUAUGUCAAAUGAUAAAAUAACUAAUCAUAUCUCAUAAUCAACAAAAAAAAUAAUAUAAUAUUUCACUUUUUAUUCUAUCAUAUUUUAUAUCCCCAAAACAAAAAAUAGCUAAAGAGAGAGCAGAUAAUUGUAAAGAAGAUGAUAUGAUAAGGUUAGAGUGUUGAAAAUUGUAAAUAUGAUGAUAUGGAGAUAAAUAAAUAAUUGAUGAAGAAUAUGUUUGGGAGUGAUUUUAAAAAACGUUUUUAAUAUUUUUAAUAUUUAAAUAAUAAAAAAUUUUAAAUAUUAAAAAUAUUAAAUAAUUUUAAAUAUUAAAAAUGUAAAAAAAGGCUUCUAGAAUCAUGACUUUAAAUUUUGAUUAUCCUUCUAUUAGGUUUUUGGUAGGAAGAUGGUAGGGUUUGCUUUAACAUUAGAAGUUACAAUGAUGUUUCAACUUUGACGCCACACGUGGCGUUGGCUUAGCCGCUUUGGUGCUGUAAUCGACUAAUUUCUUUAGGUGAAAGUUUAAACCAUGUGUUCAGUUACGGCCACGUGGAACCAGCAUCCUCGUUGCAUAAACGCAUGCACUUUCUUCCCCGGACAUGCCGGACGAGUGAAUUUUAAGGAAGGUUCGAUGUUUUAGGAAAGUUUGAAAAAGCAUCGAACGGGAUUCUGAGAUUUUGAAUUCCCUUGAUGAACAAAAUCUAUACAAUUUAAAAAUCACGCAACAAAUCAACCAAAAGAGAAAUUCCAAAGAAUCCAAAUCCACUCAACCCAUCCAAACAAAAUAAAUUCACAAAAACGACUCACAUUUUGGAAUUCACUUCAUCAAUCUCUGCGAUGGGUGUUCCUCAGGCCAUGCAAACCCUAAGCGAGAGAGCAGCAUUCACGAGGGAGUCUCUGCAAAAGAGCCAGACCAUCACGGAUAGUAUGGUCGCCAUUCUCGGCUCCUUCGACCACCGCCUCUCCGCUCUCGAAACCGCCAUGCGUCCCACUCAGGUGUUUCUUCAUUUUCUCCUCGUUUGGUUUCCGUGAAAAAUUCAGGAAAGGACAAGAAAAUGGAAAGAAGAUUGCGGGCUUUAUGAGUUCUGUUUUUUGAUUCUCACAAAAUUUGGGUGGAAAAAAAACACAACAAAUUGUGGAAUCUAGGGUUUGCUUCCGUGUUCAUUCGAUUUGUGGGUUGAAUUUUUUUACGGCCACAAUGAAAUCCUCCUGACUGCUUGAUUUGAAUAAAAAAUUGUUAAAAGUGUUUUGAUAUGUUAAUUUGGAUUUGAUUUUGGUAGAUAAGGACGCAUUCGAUUAGGAAGGCCCAUGAGAAUAUAGAUAAGACACUGAAGGCGGCUGAAUUGAUACUGGCCCAAUUUGAUCUCACCCGCAAGGUUGGUGUCUCUUUCCGGCUCCUGUUUAAAUUGAUUUUAUGUCAUUCUUGAUUUCAGUUUGUCAUGUUGUGUAUAUUUUAACAUAGUUGAAAUUAUUAUGAGCUAAUGAAUUAUGCUUAUUGCUUCACAAUUAUGUACAAUGAUGAGAAGCACUUCCAGGACUCUGCUUUUAGAUUUUCAUUCAUCUGGUUUGUAAUACUCGAUCAAAAGAUUUUGCAUUUCCCCCCCUGUUCGGUUAACUGAGAGAACUCAUUAACAUUUAUACAAAAUCACAUGCAGAGACAAGUGUUAGGUGCAAAAAUGAGUUGCGGAUUGAGAAAAUAGCCCAUUCUAUAGCUUGGUGGUAACUGGUAUAUCUAUUUCAUGCUUUUAAUGUUUAUAAAUGAGACAUAAAUUGGGGGUGAGGCCAGAUAACAGGAAGGUAACCUCCUUAUUGAUUGUGGUUGUAUCACAAAAGAGGAACCUUCUCUAUCUAUUGGGUGAUGGAAUCAAUGUUUUGAAAACCGGACUGGGUAGUCUGACCGGUUGGACCGUCUAUUGGUCUUCUUCUUAAUCUAGGUAGCCUCUUUCAGCUGUUUUGAAGUUGAACUGGUCAAGAACCGACCAAACUGGCUAGCUGGUUUUACCAAAUUUGGCCGUUUUUACCAAAACUGUUCAUCUUGGAUCUCUUGUCUAAAAAAGAGAACUACUACAACAAUUGGGCUGCACCACUCUUUUAAAUAUAUUACGAUUUAAAUUCUUUUUUUUUAUAUUAUGAUUUAAAUAAUAUUAUCUACCGGCUUAAUAAAUCCAUAUAAAAUGAAAAUUUUGAAAUAAAUAUGAAAAUAAUUUAGGUUAACGAAUAUAAUAAUUUUUAAGAUGAUAGAAUGUAGAGUAUGUAGUUGUUGAAAUCUAGAUUAAAUAAUAAAAGUUUAUUUCAUUUUGGAUAUAUCUUUUUAAUAAUAAAAUAUUAUAAUUUGAUCUAUUAAUAUUAAAGAUAAAAAAGAUGAGGAAAAUCUUUAAGUUUGGGACAGGUUGUUCAACCCUAAUCAAACCAUGACAUUAACAUCAUAUUAUAAAAAUAUAUAAUUUAUAUAUUAUUAAAAUUUAAAAUAACUAUAUUAAUUUAUAAUUUGAUCUAUUAAUAUUAAAGAUAAAAAAGAUGAGGAAAAUCUUUAAGUUUCUUAAUAUAUAUAUGCCAUUAAACUAGAAAUGCAAUUGACACACAGUGUAUAACUAUACAUGGUCUAUUAAUGGGAAAUGUCACACAUUGGAUAGGGGAGAAAGUUUCUGACGUUAUAUAUGUAUGUGCUCCUCUUAACCUUGUAGACGUGUUUUAAAGUUAUGAGGACCCCUUUGGGUCCAAAGCGGACAAUAUCUACAUGGUUGGGUGUGGGUCGUUACAAAUGGUAUCAGAGCCGAUCUUUGAUCCCAGAGCAGGGGUUUGUUUGGACUCAUAAGGGGUGUUUGUUUGUUUGACCCUAUAAUCCCAUGGGUUACAACGAGAACGUUGUGUCUGUAUAAGGAAGUAUUCAUGAUGUCCUACAUCGGAUAGGGGAGAAAGUUCAUGACAUUAUAUAUGUAUGUGCUCUGCUUAACCUUGUAGACCCGUUUUAAAGCUGUGAGGAUCUCUUUAGACCCAAAGCGGACAAUAUUUACAUGGUUGGGUGCGAGUCGUCAAAAUUCCCACUAAUACACUGUGUGUAGUUAUACACCAUGUGCCAACUACAUUUCUGGUUUAAUGGCAUAUACAUAUUAAGAAACUUAAAGAUUUUCCUUAUUUUUUUUGUUUUUAAUAUUAAUAGAUCAAAUUAUACCUUAAUAUAGUUAUUUUAAAUUUUAAUAAUAUAUAAAUUAUAUAUUUAUAAUAUGAUGCUAAUGUCAUGGUUUGAUUGGGAUUGAACUACUUGUCCCACUAAUACACCGUGUGCCAACAACAUUCUGGUUCAAUGGCAAGUUCAAUUCUGAGAACGUUGGUUACAAUCACCUUGGACUCUACUAUUCUAGAAGUUUGAAAUAGGUUUUAACCAAUGUAAGGCUUCUCUAUUCAUCAAAAUUGUGGACCAUCCCAGUCUUUCCCCAUAUCUUUAUGCAAGCCAAAAAGAUUGCAUAGACUUUUAAAUUAAUUAAUAAACUAAAUGAUAACUAGAGUUUAUUGUUUUUAUUAAAAAAAUGUAGGUUGUGUUUUUUUUUUUUUUUGGUUAUUGGAGGGUGUGUUUUAUUGGUUAGUGGAGCUAUUAAAUUAUUGUUAUCUACCAGAAGUUUUUGAACAUUAAGAUAGUGUCAGUCUUCUCUUCUCUGAAAACUUCGAUUUUUCCUUAUUGCGUGUGGUGAUUAACAUCCAUUAUGUAUGGUAGCUCCAAAACAAUACUUCAUAGCACAUAUGAUCUGUUUCUCUAUGUUGAUCUCAAUUUUUCUUCAACUUUUAGGCGGAGGCUAAAAUACUGAGAGGGCCACACGAGGAUCUAGAAAGUUACCUAGAAGCAAUGGAUCAACUGAGAAGCAUUGUUCAUUUUUUCAACUGUAACAAAAGUUAUAAGAGCAAUGCUGGAGUGCUUAAUCAUGUCAAUAACUUACUUGCAAAAGCUAACUUAAAGAUAGAAGAGGAGUUUAGACAGCUCUUGACAUCUUACAGGUUUGUUCUUUUGCAUAUACUCAGUGUUACUAUUAUUUAUGAUUUCUUGGUUGGAACCCUGGCAAUCUCAUUCCUGGAAGCAUUGUGCUUCACAACAAAUGUUUCCUGACAUAAAUUUUCUGAGAUGAAUGAAAAUUGGUUUUUUAUUUAUAUUUUGUUUCUUGUGCAUGAAACAUAUUUUGGACUUUUGGCAAGUUCUAAUUCUUUCAAUCAGGGUUGAGUAACUGUCUUUUCAUUUGUAGCUGCUGAAGUUGUAUCUCUUUUGGAUUUCAGCAAACCAGUGGAACCUGAUCGCCUUUUUGAUUGCCUCCCCCACUCUCUACGACCAUCAUCAGGGUCUCCUGGGCAUCAGGGUGAAGCUACUGGCAAGAAUCCUUCUUCUACCAAUCACUCUGAGCACAACAAAAGCUUAGAAACUGCUGUUUACACUGCUCCAACUCUUAUUCCACCCAGGAUUCUGCCAUUGCUGCACGAUUUAGCCCAACAAAUGAGUCAAGCUGGUCACCAACAACAACUCUACAAAAUUUAUAGGUGAGAUUUUUUUAUUUUUUUUUAACUCUGUUUCUGAUGCAUUAACAUUGCCCAACAAUUUCUUUUCCUAGUAUCACGGAUUUUUAUUUUAUACACACACACACACACACACACACACACACACACACACACAUAUAAUAGAAAUAUAUUUGAGAAUUGUCAUCAUUGAAUCCCACUUCAAUGCUAUUUUUUGUUUUUAUUCUAUCUGUAAGCACAUGGUAAGCAAUCUAAAGUGAUUCUUGUUUGUAGUUAUCAUUUUUGUUUUGGAUAGGCACUUUGCCUGUAGUCAUCAUCAAUUUCUUCAUAAGCUGGGAAAAUUGAUAGUUAAUAUGUUUAUAAUCAUGCAGAGAAACCCGUGCUUCAGCUUUGGAACAGAGUCUCAGGAAAUUAGGUGUGGAAAAACUUACUAAAGAUGAUGUCCAGAAGAUGCAGUGGGAAGUUUUGGAGGCUAAGAUUGGAAAUUGGAUUCAUUUCAUGCGGAUUGCUGUAAGGGUUUACUAGGAACUGGAUAGGAUUAUUUGUGUGUGUGUGUGUGUGUGUGUGUGUGUGUACGUAUUUUCUCUUAAUCCAGCCAUUUCAUCAUGCUUGUAACAGGUCAAAUUGCUAUUUUCUGGGGAAAAGAAAGUCUGUGGUCAAAUAUUUGAUGGUGUUGAUUCUCUCAGGGAUCAAUGUUUUGCAGAAGUUACUGCAAACAGUGUAGCUGUGCUCCUUAGUUUUGGAGAUGCUAUUGCCAAAAGCAAGAGGUCCCCUGAAAAAUUAUUUGUUCUCUUAGACAUGUAUGAGAUAAUGCGAGAACUGCAUUCAGAGGUAUGAUUUAUAUAACUAGUUGCAUAAACACUGAAUUAUGGAUACUAAACUAGCCAGCAGAUUGGAAGUUGAUAUUGGUUAUGUGAAGUUUUAGUGAGCUGCUUCUAAGGUUUCCCAUAAUUUUGGAGGAAAAGCUUUGUUGCAAUUAAUGGAACCUAUAUGAAACUACUUGAGCUGUCAAUAGGCAGACAACAUAAAACAAUUUUCAUCAUUGCUUAGGAUAGAAAAUUUGCACUUUUUCCUCCAAUACCACUUGUCUCCUAUUCUUAAAAUGUGCAAGGUGCACCUAAGUUGGAAAAGUCUCCUAUGGCUUAGGCACGAGGUGCAGCACAAGGCAUGCACCUGAGUGAAGUGAAAUGCGAGUUAUGAUGUAUAGCAAUUUUAUAAAUAUGAUCCAAAAUCCAAUCCAAUCAACAAAAAACUUGAGAUUUCAAAUAUUUAAAAGAAGCAUUCAACAAAAAAGUAAUGAAAUAAUAUAAACUUCAAUAUAUAGUUAAAUUUUUUAAGAAUAAAAGUGUUUAAAAAGGAAGGGUAAAGUAGAUGAGGUGUGGCUCUCCUACAAAGUGCAUGCCUUGGCAAGUAAAGCACUAUAACUGGGGAUUAGUUUUGCCCUGAGCCUAGGCAUGCUUUAGGCGUGCCUGUUACAACUAUUUGUAAAUGAAUAGCAUAAAUAAAUGGCUUAAAGGGUUUUAACAACAAAGAUCAAAAUUCAGUUUGUUUCAUCACUGGACUAUUAGCAGAUAAUGCUUAAUUGCUACUAUGUCGGUUGUAAAAUGAAUUUGAGUGAUUCACAGCCACACCCACAGAUAUAUACACAUAUCAAGAAAUCAUUCUUGUUUGUUAUUCAUAAUUGGUUGUUCUAUUAAACAUGAAGUGUACUUUGGGAACAGAUGCAGAUUGAUAUACAUAUGUAUUGUUAAACUAAUGCAGAUUCUGUUUCUUUCUUCUUUUUUGCCCCUCUUGGGGUGUGGGGGUGGUAUUGGUGUUCAUGUUGGGGGUGAGUGUAGAUUGAAACAAUAUUUGAAGGUCAGGCCUGUGUCGAAAUGCGGGAAUCUUCAUUGAGUUUGACAAAGCGGCUAGCUCAGACGGCCCAAGAGACCUUUGGUGAUUUUGAAGAAGCCGUAGAAAAAGAUGCCACAAAAACUGCUGUUCUUGAUGGAACUGUGCAUCCUUUGACAAGCUAUGUAAUUAAUUACGUGAAGUUUUUAUUUGAGUAAGUCUAUAUAACUGUGCUGUCCAUCUCAUGCUGUUGAUCCUUUCAUAGACAGAAUCUAGUAAAAGUAUAUGUUGCCCUAUUAUUCCUUGAUAUGUUCAUCCACUUCCAAUGAAUUAUUUGUCUUGAUAGAUUUUGGAAAUGUUUCUCUGGUCUGUUGAAUUAUUCCUUAAGGUUUGUUUUUUUAUUUUUUUGGACUUAUUCCUCCUGACUAGUUCGUUCAUGGAUUUGAACAUUCAAAAUCCAUUAGUUUAUGUUUUCAAGUGUUUCAGUACUCACUUUCUGUUUUCUAAUGUCAUGUUAUUGCAUCUAUUCCCCUGUUUGGGUUAAUAUGCUUAUAUAGCUCUAUUGCACUUUCAUUUGGUAAUGUCUUGUUUCCAGAAUAUCUGACUAAUGGAUAUCAAAUGUGCACAGCUAUCAAUCGACAUUAAAGCAACUCUUCCAAGAGUUUGGUGAAGGGGAUGCUGAUGCUCAAUUAGCAUCUGUGACAACACAGAUUAUGCUGGCUCUUCAGAAUAACUUGGAUGGGAAAUCCAAGCAAUAUAAAGAUCCUGCAUUGACUCAAUUAUUUCUUAUGAAUAACAUUCACUACAUUGUCAGAUCAGUGCGAAGGUUUGUUAUAUCUUUUUAGCUUGAUUGUUGAUCUGAAUUUAUGCUGUGUAAAUAGUUUCUCCUUUUUAUUGUUCUCAUCCUUAGGUCAGAAGCAAAGGAUUUGUUGGGGGAUGAUUGGGUGCAAAUACACCGAAGGAUUGUACAGCAGCAUGCAAACCAGUAUAAGAGGGUAUCUUGGGCAAAGGUUUUGUUCUUUGACCAAACUUGAUAUAAAAUGUCCAUGAUUUGUUACUAUUUUUCCAGUGCAAUUUCUUUUUCUUAUUUAGAUGUUGUUUGUUUUUACCCCACAAUUCUACUAGCUUUAUAGAUGUGAUGUGUACCUCUCUAUUCCUGGAAUAUGAUCUUCUGAUCCUGUAUAAAUUUUCUUCUCCAUUGCUCACUUAGAACUGUCAUGAUACUGUUUGUUCUUCACCAAGGGUAAGGUUGACACACACAAAAGAUUCUUCUGUCUUUCCCUUAUUAUCUGGAUUCUGUUGAUGAGUAAGGGAUGACGGACAUGCUGGACACUAUACUGCCACAGACGCAUAAACAUAAGACAUAUUUAUCUUUCAAGUGUCUAUCUUAUGCACAUGGGUUAGUAGGCUUUGUUGAUAGAGCAGCAUGAUAAUUAUUGCGGCCUUCUAUAUGGUCUGGAUUUUUUGAAUUUAGAGCUUGCGUACAUUUAUGUAUGUUAAAUCUUCCCCAAUACUCAUUAUAUCUUUGUAUGCACUUAACUAGUUUCGUAGACAUCUUGAUACUGAUCUUCCUAAAAAUUAAGCUUCGUUGGGGAUUAUAAUUAGUUCUGGAUUGAGAAUCAUUUGGCAAUAUUUGCUGCUUACUCUUAUGGUAUAUAUCUCUAUAAGACAAAUUGCUUAUAGUUGUAGGUUGUUGGAAAUUGUUUGUUUCCAUUGAAUAAAUUGCAAGACUAUAAAUUUUAACCAUUGAUUGGACAGCAAUGUGAUAAAUGUCAUGCUGUAUUACAGUUUGGACAUGAAGCCCUUGUUUUGUUCAUGGUCCCUGAUGUAUCUUGAUAUUCAGCUAUAAAUAAAUACAAGAGGCAAAUAUUUGAGAAAGCCAUUGAAAUGUAGCCUUCUAAGAUUGUGUUGUACAGACCUACAUUAUUGUUUCUGAUUAGCAUCACUUCAAAUAUAUGCUUGAUUUUGUCUCACACUUCUGCUAGGAAAGUUAAGUAUCAAUCACGCUAAGCCACUGAUAUUUCUUGCUCUACAGAUUCUGCAGUGUCUGUCCAUUCAAGGUGCUGCUUCAUCAGGUGGUGGUGGUGCGAUUGCAGAAGCUGGUAGCGGCAGUGGAGUUUCAAGAGCGAUGGUGAAAGACAGGUACAAGACCUUCAACAUCCAGUUUGAGGAGCUUCAUCAAAGGCAAUCUCAAUGGACAGUUCCAGACAGUGAGUUGCGAGAGUCAUUGAGGCUGGCAGUUGCUGAAGUUCUCCUACCUGCCUACAGAUCUUUCAUUAAACGUUUUGGGUAUCUGUUUUCUCACACUCGUGACCUGUUCUUCUAAAAUUCCUGUUGCUUCCUUAUCCCUUGAUUGUUCAAAUGUGGUUUGGGUGUUACAGGCCUAUGAUUGAAAAUGGGAAAAACCCGCAUAAGUACAUCAGAUACACUCCUGAGGAUCUUGAGCACAUGCUGAGUGAAUUCUUUGAGGGGAAGACCCUGAAUGAACUAAAGCGGUAAAUAUACUCAAGAAGCUCUCAGUCCAUGUGAUGGCUAACACUGUUUUAUUCUUUGUACUAUGAUGCGAUCAAAUAAAAGCUGGGGUAGCCUUCCUUUCCCACUGAACGCUUUUAUUAGUGUUCUGAAGUUCUGUUGUUAUUUAACUUAUUCUUAUUUUUAAACUGCUGAAGUAUAUUUUCUGACUAGGUAACUUGAAGUAUGACUUAGCUAUAUGGGUUUAUUCUGGUAGAUUUCUUUGGGCAGAAUUUGGGUAUAUCCAAACUUAAGGCAUACCCCAUCCUGCUAAAAAUUUGUUAAGAUUUGGAAAUAGGGUAGAAAAGAAAAAAAAUAAAAUAAAAAAUAUAUAUAAAUAUAUAUAUAUAUAUAUGGGAGAAAAGUCAUGUUUUUGUUUGAUUAUGGAUAAAAAUGGGAUGUAAAAAUUGAUGAAAAUUUGAUGCAUUUUGUAACUCUUCAUUUUGUUCUUGGAAAGUGAGAGAAUUUAGGAGAUGAGUAUCGGAAAUUUUAGCAAAUUCAAAUAUAGAAUUUAUUUUCUAUCUUGUUAAUUUUGCAUUUAUAUUCUUUUUUUACUGAACCUCCUUUAUCUUUUCUCUUACAUAUACUAAAAAUAAAUACAGUGGAGAAGGAAAAAAGAAUUAAGUAAAUAAGAUACGAGUUCAAGAACCAAAAAGCCAUCUUUUUCCAUUACAUCUCACCAUUCAAAAAAGAAAAAGUAGAAUUUUGGGAACCUAAUUUCUUUUUUGGAAUAUUAAGCAAAGCAAAAUGGCAAUGAAAAGAGGUUUAUGUUUUAUAUUCUGUCUUUCCUAACCCUGAGUACAUAUGUUGGUGUGUGUAAAUUUGUGGCCUCUAGAUGCAAUAUAGUGUGCCUUGUAUGAAAAAUAUAAAUGUUAGCCCAAGGGGUUCUCCUAAUCAAGUUUUGAUGAUAACAAAACAGGUCUAAAGUUACUAAGGGUUAAAUCAAGUUAAUUGCUUCAAGUUUUCUUGAAAAAUUAAAGAAAGUUCAAACAACUCAAAUAGAAGAUUCUUGUUAAUGGAAAUUUGAGCUUAUUGAAGACUUAAGAAGGCCUAGGAACAAUUGUAAGGUUGUAUUUAAAGAUGAUGUGGAAUUUAAAUGAUUUAAUCUUGUUUUCUAUAUCAUCUGAAUCAAAAUUUCAUCUUCUAGUUAAACUUUUUGAAGAAAGGAGUCAUCACUUGAACAUUUUUUUAUUUGGUAGUUAUAACUUGAACUGUUACUAACAAAUUGAAAGGACUCACAAUAUAUUUUAAAUUUUGAAAAUGACCAUGUUCAUGUUACAACUUGCAGUAUAAACAAUUUGCAAAGCUUAAAAGAUGAAGUAGAUUAAUUCAAUUUUUUUUAGGUGAUCGUGAAUGCUUCCUAAUUAAAUUUCCUUCUUGUAAACCAUUUUAAUUAUGCUUCCAGGUGCAAAUAAAAUAUCCUCUGCUGCUCAUAACAGGUUCUUAUAGUCAUGAUUCAAUAAAUGUUUGUAGAGACCUAGUUCCUUUUGAGGAAGUGGAUUGCAACAUGGCCAGUGAUGUAAGAGUAACUGGUGUUAGAACUGAUGUUGAGGCAAACUGUUCCUGUUAUGCACAUGGUGCCAAAAAGAGAGUUUGGGAGCCUCAUUGUCUUCACUGAGGUCCAAAGAAGUGAAGGAAAGCCAUCAAAUUGGCUGCCAGUUAGAUUCCAACUGGGAUAUUGUUUCGGGAAAUGGUAAAAUAGAUAAUGCAUGCUUUGCUGGAUGCUCCUUGGGAGCUACUAGAAAUGAAUCUUUGGCUGAAUUUUCCCUAGGGAUAUUCUGGCCAGGAGCUAUGUAGAGAAGAAUGUUGAAGAUCGUAGGCCACUAUCAAAAGAGCAGCUCGGUGCACUUGAGUCAUUAAAAUUUUUAAUGCACUUAAGCUUUUAAAAAUCAUCCUUUCUUGAACUUAAAUCAAUCACAUCUUCAUCAGGUCAGAUGAUUUCAUGUUUUUUUAUCAAACCCUGAUUUUAAUUCUUUCAAAAUAUGCAUUAAAGGGUUUAUAUGGUGUGUAAGAUUCUUUCCCAGAGGUUUCUGACCUCGGUCUAGCCUUUUUUCUUUAGUUAUAGUGUAACUGGUCAAGACAGGGAGGAAUUGGUUGAGCCAAAAAGGCUCGAUCAGUCAAGGUGCACAAAAUGCAUCUCUAACUUCUAGUAGCAUUUUUUAACUGGUUACGGUAGGAGGCUCAACCAGUUGCUCAAUCGGUUGAGGUCUAGAACCCCAACAGUCACCUGCAAGUACAUUUAAUGUACAAUUGCCAAUGAACUAGUCAAACCGAUUGCUUGACCAAUCAAGCCUAAGUUAUGGGUUCUUGGGUUUCAGAGCUACUCACCUAUAUAUUGAGUCUUUUAAGAGCAUUUAUGAACAAGAGAUUUUGAAAUUGGGAUAAUUUCCAAAUGGAUUUUGAAAUCAUAACUUGAAUUUCCAAAUCAUUUCGAAAUGGUCCUUCAGCCUUGUGCAGUUGUCUUCAAAUGACCCUAACUUCUUCAUUUUAGCUCCGAUUUAUGCACCGUUUGAAGCAUUGGACUCUUGACUUCCCGAGCUUUGAAACAAUCUAUAGCUUGCCCAAAAUUGACCUUGGGAAGUGCUUCAGAUUUUACCUUAAAGUCAGAGUAUGUGUUGCUGCCAGAUUUUGAAUUCUAAAUUUCCAUGUCAACUUGAUUGCAUUUGUUUCAAACCUCCUCCAUUAUAGUUGCUUGCCCUUUAUCUCACUCCAUAACAUCCGUUGCUAGUAUUUUAUGUCUAUGAGUCACUCAUCACGCCCUUGCUUGGACUCGUCAUGGUUCACAAGUCCUGAAUCUCUUCUUUAUGCAUGUUUUACCACUUCUACUUCCUUGGAUGAUAAUGAAUUUUAUACUCAUCACAUUUUUCAUCCCUUAAACCUGAAUUAGGCUCAAAAUAGAAGUUAGAUCCAUAACUAGGGUCUUAGCAUCAAUUUGAUUUAAGUUGGAUGAUUUGAGUUUUUUUAUAUUCCAUAAAUCAUGUCAUAUAUGUGCUAUUGGAGCACAUAUUUUGGCUCUAAUCAGGUCUCAAGUUGUCUCCUCGAGCUUGGUUUGAUUGUUUUACCAAAGCCGUAAAGAGGUUUGGCCAUUCUCAGUGUCAAUUUAACCAUACUCUAUUUGUAAAACACACACCUGAGGGAAGAACUGUCGUUAUCAUCGUUUAUGUGGAUGACAUAAUUCUGACCAGAAACCAUAGGGAAGAAAUAGGCAAACUCAAGAGUUUUCUUACCUAUGAAUUCAAAAUUAAAGACUUGAAGAGUCUUAAAUAUUUUCUUGGGAUGGAAAUUGCUAGAUAAAAAUAAGUAUUGUAGUCUCCCAACAUAAGUAUGUUCUAGACUUGCUAAAGGAGACUAGGAUGCUUGGUUGUAAACCUACAAACACAUCUAUGGACCACACUAUUAAACUAGGAAUUAUUGAAGGAAGUUCUCUAGUGGAUAAAGGGAGAUAUCAAAGAUUUGUGGGGAAACUCAUCUCUCUCUCACACACAAAACCAAAUGUUGCUUUUUUUAGUCAACGUGGAUAGUCAAUUCUUGAACAAUCCAAUUGAGGAAUAUAUGAAAGUUGUGUAUCGUAUUCUAAAAUAUCUCAAAAUGACUCUAGGAAAGGGACUUUAUUUCAAAAGAGCACAAAAAAGAAACAUUGAAUUUUUUUCAAAUGUAGACUAGGAUGGUUCCGUAACCGAUUGAAGAUCAAUCUCAGGAUAUUGCACCUAUGUAUGGAGGAAUUUGGUUACUUGGCGAAGCAAGAAAUAGUCUAUUGUAGCUCGAAGUAACGCAAAAGUAGAAUUUAGAGCUAUGACACAUGGAAUUUGUAGAGGAAUGUGGUUAAAGAGACUCUUAAACAAGCUGAAAAUUUUAGUAGAAGAUUCUGUAAAGAUGUUCUGUGACAAUCAAGUUGUCAUAAUUAUUGCUAAGAACCUGGUUUAUCAUUAUUAGAAGAAGCAUGUAGAAAUAGACCGUCAUUUUAUAGGGAGAAGCUAGAAGAAGGGAGAAUUUAAUUGGUUUACACUCCAAUAGCUCUCUACAUACCAGACAUCCUUACCAAGGCACUUUCUAGAACCAACUUUGAAGAUUUGAGAUUCAAGUUAGGAAUAAUCAACAUUUACAAUCUAGUUUGAGGGGAUGUGUGGAAAUUUAGAAUUUACAGCUGGGUUAACAACCAUGUUAUAGCUACAACUAUGUUACAAUUAUAUUAUAGUUGUGUGAUAGCUAGGGAUUCAAAUGUUGUUUUUUGUUUCAGCGAUAUUUUGUCGAUAUAUCGUGUAUGAGUGUAGCUUGACAUGAUAACGGGCAUGGAUAUCUCGACUGAGAGAGAGAUCAUUUUUUCUUGCCAUUUAUUGAGGGUUUUUUUGGCAAAGUUCCAGAUUUGCACCAAUAUUUCAGAUAUAUCAACAAUUUUCAGCCACGUUAGCAUGUUGUGUCAGCGAUAUUUUUCAGCUUUUACUUAAAAUUUUUGAAAUAUGGGCCUGAAGUAAGAGACACCCAUUUUUUUUGUGACAACUGAUGGAGCCUAAUUUUACAUGUGAUGAUACUUGGGGCACCAACACUUCAAAUAUGGGAAUGUUUUCUCUUCACUUUCAUGCAAGUUAGGGAAUUGAUCUUGAGACCUUAAGAAUGAAAAGGUUUGUCCUUGCCACCAAACUAACUAUACUUUGCUUAUACAAGCACAUAUUAAAAUAUAUAUAUAUAUAUAUAUAUAUAAAUUACUUAAAAUAAAAAAAAAUGAGUUAAUUUUAAUUAUGUCUUUUAUAUAAUAAUUAGGUAUAAGAUAAAUAUAAACUUAUAAAUAAAAUUAUCAAUAUUUUUAAAUAAAAAAUACUAACAUAUCAUCAUUUCUUUUAUAUCAUUUGAAUAUCCAAACUAAAUAUAUUAUCAUUUUAGUUUUUAUGUAUUAUCAAAUUCAAUAUAUUAUUGUCAAAUAUUAUAAUUUGUUUUAUCGAUAUUUUUAUAUUAAAGUUUCCAUCAAUAUUUCCUUAUAUAUCCCGAUAUAUCCAUAAAAUCUAACUACUGAUAUAUCCAUGAACACCGAUAUUUUCAUCCUUGGUGAUAGUUGUGUUAUAGUUGUGACACAACUGUGUUGUUGUAUUUCUAAUUUUAACUUACUCCCUUAUUUUAUUUUGUGAGAGAUUUUUUCUCCUAAAAUAAAAAAUUAGAUUUCUUUUCUAAGGCAGAUGACCUCAAUCGUUUGUGCAUAAAUAUUGGUACUAUAAUCAAUUUGCAAUAUAGAGAAAAAGUAUUUUUUUCCCUCAAAUUUCUUUAGUUUUUAUAGAUUUCUUGUUACAAGUUUAGACUGUUAUGAUAGUUUUAAAUGUGUGGAUGGUUUUCUUUUCCUUCCAUAGAAUAUGGUAUAUGAAAUGCGCAAGUUUUCUAUCUACUUUUGGUAUAAUUUGUUUAUAUGGAUAUGGAUUAACCAUGUAGUACCACCUACACUAUUUCAUCAGUACUAGUGGAAUAUGGUAUUGACUCAUAGCUGCCAUCAACAAUUCAUUCCACUAGCCAAAUCACCCAUAUUGUGCCAUCAAUCACAGGUUCCUCAAGCAUGUUGAAGUGUCUAUUAUAUGUCUUAUAGCAUACUGUCAGAAAUGUAAUUAUAAUAGGAAAUUAUUUUGUUGAGUGUUUUUUCUAUUAGUUUUUCUUUUUUUUUUAGUUAAAUUUUUGUUUCCAUUGGGACUUGAACCUGGUAGCUCCCACAAACCCUCCCCAACCCUUUACCACUUGAUUCCAGCCCCAAGGGUGAGUGUUUUCUCUAUUAGUUAUUACACUGUCGAGGACAUUUGACUUAAGAUACCAUCUUGUAAUGUAAACCCAUCUUAAGUCCUCUUCUAGUUCUUCCUAAUACAUUGAGAAAUUCCUUUUUCCACUAGAUGCAGGUUUUUGAAUUCUGCAUGAAUAAUGAUUGGUACCAUAUUAUGUUAGGCGAUUGGUACCAUAUUUGACCUUAGAAUCCCUCCUCCCCAUCUACCUGCAUGAUUUAAGGAUUAGAGAGUGCAACUGUGACAGUUUUGUGCUUUCAGUGGAGAUGCUAUUAAUGAAGUUGGUCCGCACUAGUAAUAGGAUGACCAAUAAAUGCAUUUUGGGGUGAGGUCAAAUUGAAAACUGAAAACAAAUCCAUCUCUGGCAGCUGUCUUGCCUUACUUUUGCCAAAAAAAGCACCCAUUUCCAUGCUGAAGCACCAGCUACUACUGUAGAGGGCCUCUAAUCUCCAUACACUAUGUGAGCAACUUAUAAUCAUUGUUUCUGUUUCUGUUUCAUUGUAAAUAAAUUCCUAAAAUGAUAUGGCAAUAAUUUUGUUUGUGAGUCAUAUUCUAGGCAAUGAAGAUCACAUGAAUGAAAUGAAGUUAUUACAAAGUUAGAAAACAGUGGUAAAGAUAAGGUUAUCUCAUGUUAUAAUAUAUGUGCACACAAAUGCAUUUUAAUGAAAAAGUGACAUAUCUGAUAAAAGAAAAAGGAAAUCUUUUCCCGUUGCCCCUUCAUCCAUAGUCCUUUUCUUGGCAAAUAGCAAUGCACUCAGACCAAGCAUAACUGAGUCAUAUCUUAAGUUACCUAUAUAUGUAGAUGCAUACACAUUCUAUUUUCUUUGGAGAUGUUUUGAAUCUCCAGAUCACUGAAACUCUCUCUUGCUUUUGGUUGGUGCUCUGAGCACCUUGUUGCUGCCAACUCAACAAACACUAAAAAGAUGACAAGAUGAUUUUGAUGGUUAUUUACUAAGCUUGCAGUAAGAUAAGGACUUUUCUUUUUAUUACCUUUCCUUCCUAUUUGGUCUGUGAUUGACAAGGAAAUAAAGAUAGUUCUUGAUUAUAAUCAGGAGUGUCUUUUUCCUUCUUCAAUCUCAGACUACACUUUAUUCUUCAUUUCUAUUUGCCUCUUUUUGACCUAAGAAUCUCUCUCUCUCUCUCUCUCUCUCUUUCUCUCUCUAGUGUGUUUUUUGAUUUCUAAUGAAUAUCACACUCUGAGGAGAAUGUCUUGAAGCUGAAUGCCUCAAGUAAAAGGGAUGAUUCAAAAUAGACAAUUACUACUUGAAAAGGCUCUCAUAAGAAAAAAUGCAUAUCAGAAGCAACAUCAAGGACACUGCACUUAUAAAUGCUUUACAAUAAUAUUAGCUGGGGAAGAAGUGGCAUCGGCAAAGUGGAAAGCAAACAAUUUCUGCCUGAUUUUGGAUGCAGAAAAUUUGGUUAUUUUUUAGAAUUACUAGAGAUGGUGUCAUUGACAAUUGAGGGAAAGGAAACAUUGGAGAGAGCAGCUUUACCUAGAUGCUUUAACUGCUAGCAAAACCAAAUACUCAACCAUAUGAUGUUGCUCAGGUGAAUGCUGAUCUGAAACUCAAUAUGACCUGAUAAUUCUUAGUUCCGUCUUAUCUAUUGUCCUGUAUUUUUUUUUUCUUUUUAUAAUGCAAAUUGAAUAUUCUUUGUUGACUGAUAAUUUGAUAGAUGUCUGACAUGUCAUGAGAAAACACCUGCUGAGAGAUCAAGCAGGAGAACAGAGAGGAUCCAUGCUGUGCUUUGACCUCAAGAACCAAAGGAGUUUAGUAGUUGGAGUUAUUGAAGAAACCAAAAAAAAAAAUUAUGGUGAGAACAUGGAAGAAAAGCAUAAGUUGCAUGAUUCUAGGUUUCAUUGACAGGACAUGAUUAUUAAAUUGGAGAAAGAAUUAGAGGCUAAGUUAUUUACACUAGACAUAUAGCACAAAUGGUUAAGUUUUCUUAAUCUGUAAAAAAGUGAUAAUAUCCUUAUAAAUGUCUCACAUUUGAUCUCAUGUUUAACUAGUAAAUUUCAAGAAAUUAGUUAUAAAUCUUCCAUUGAGAUGCAAUUAUAUUGAUAACAUUUUGCCUUUAUAUUUGGUUUGCUGUAGAAUUACUUUUUAUAUCAGAAGUUGGUGGAAAAAUGAUAUUUCUCUUUCUGGGAUAAGGACAUGGUAACAUUCUCCCAACUUCUGCCUUAGAUCCUUUGGCUGCUUCUGUGUUUAAUUGAUGUUAUGAAUGAUGUAAUUGGGGAGGGUAAAGUAAAUUGGAUUGUAACAAUAAUGACACAACUUUGGCGCUCUCUCUCACACACAGAUGCUCGGUUGCUCACUCACUCAUAUGUGCAUGCUCACAUGCACCGAUAGGUUUUUAAAUGUUUAAUGCUAUUAUAUUUGACUAGUUUGUUUAAGAAUUUAAUUUUACUAAUAAUUGUCUCUCACGUGCUUGUCCAAUAUUUAUAUGUAUAUAUCUGUAUCUCAGGCACACAUAAUUAGGUUGAUUAAAGGUUUGUUGCUACUAUAUUUGCUUUGAGGUAGGUUUUCUUGGCCUUCAUCUUUGUCCCUUAGCACCUUGAACUUGAAUCAAAUCACUCCUCCCACUCUAAUUCAUUUUUUUCCAUUGCAGCCCACAUUCAAAAUACCAAAGCCUUGCAAAUUGAAGGUGAUAGACCCAGGUAAAUCUUUGCACUGAUUCUGUUUCUCAUUAAUAGUGAAUCUCUGUCAUCCAUCACUACUCAAAGAGGUUCAUAUGUUUUUGCUUUUUCUUCAAGUUUCAUAUUGUUAUAGGGUUUUAUUUGUUCAACUUAGUCAAAAAUUUCACUUGCUUAUUCUGUUAGAUUCUUACAUCAAUGGAAAUUUCUGGGUGAAAGCAUACUUCGCCUGCUCAGCUUGCCACUUGGGGCAGCCACUUCACUCACAGAUUAGCAUUUCAGGUUAACAAGUUGAUAGCUGUGUUCCAAUCAUGGUUAUUGAUUUUGAACUACUUCAAGCAGGUUAGCUUUCACUAGUAAACCUUAUUUGCUAGAGCCAAUGGUAUCAUAAUAUGUUAGAUUGCAAAUUGUAAGCUUUGGUGAAGGUGUCUUCAAUGCUGGAUGGCUUCUUUGUGUGCAGAGACCAAUACAGGUCUGAGUUCGCCAGUAACUCUCAUUUGAAAGCAAUCGGGGCUAUGGCAUCAUCAUAGCCCUCUCCUCGAUUAAUGGCCAUACUAAAUUGCUUAACAUAGUCUUGUACACUUUCCCUUUCAUUCAUUUGGAUAUUAAGGAGGGAAGAAUCCAUGUCUCUUCUUUGCCGAAAAGAACACAUAUGUUGAGCCACAAUUGUUGUGCACAAUUUUUAAGAAAGAAGAAAUAGACCCGCUCGAGAGAUUAUGGAACUAAAUGAGGGGUGGGCUUUGCAGACUUGUUGGGAAUGCGUUGCAAAGCCCUGCAUCAGGAUGAUGAGCUGACAAAAAUGCAUUAAAUGGUCAACCAGGUCUCCCAUGCCAUAAUAUGGAUGUAAUUUUGGAAACACAAACCUGGUUGGGAUUCUUGCAUUAGUGAACAAGCUGUUGACUAAGCCCCGAAUGAUUUGACUCACAAAUUGUUGUCUUCUUCCUAUUCAUAGCAUCCUUUGAAAAUCAUCCAACUGCUCUUCAAUAGUGCCUUUUUCCUUGAAGGUAUGAAUAGCCUCAUUCCUUACCAACUUAUCUUCUUCCAAGGUUGGGGGUGACUCUUCUCGGUGAGAUUGAUUUGUCUCAUGCAAAACGAUAGUGUCAAGGGAGAAGUAGAACGAUAGGAGUGUAACAAUGCUUGAAGCUCUUAAUUGUCCCUAGCCAAAGUAUCCUCUAUUUGAGAUAGAGAUUGCAUUCUUUGCUCAAGCCGGAGUUGUUGUUGCUCUGGCCAUAACUGUAGUCGACAAAGAGGCUCUUCCCCUGAAGGGCCCUUUCCAUUGUAGUGUAGGGAUGCAACUUGGCUAACCCGACCAACUUGAGGUUUGAGUUGGCAUGGGUAAUAUGUGAAGGGUUUGAGUUAGAAAAAUACCCAAAUCGACGAUAUCAAGACGGGUGAAACCUGAACCCAUGUUUUAUUUAAAAUAUGAAAAAUAUAUAUAAAAAAAGGAUGAUAGAACUUUAUCCUUUACCUUUUACAAUUGUAGGAUACUAAUAAGUUUAUCAUUUUUGUUUAAUUAUUUAAAUAUUUUUAACUUGAGUUUAGAGUUAUUAUUUAUGUUAAAUUAGCAAUUAAUAAAUAUAUUUGAUUGCUUUAAGACAUCUUUGGCAUUUAUGGUUGAUAUUUUAUAACUUUGAAAUAAAUAUUUUAUUUAGCAAGAAACUCUAUUAUAGGUCUUUUAGUUGACAAUAUGUAUGAGAACUUUUAGAAAUUUGAGUUGUCUGUGGGCUUAGCAUGGGUUGAGAAUUCCUGAAAACUAUUUCCAAAUCUCCAACAUUUUCAAAAAAUUUAAUUGAAAGUUGUCUUACAAUUCCAAUUGAAUUUUAAAGUUGUUUUUUUCCAAAACAUUUUUCCAUAUUUAUAUUGAAAUUUUGUCUUCAAUGGACAACUUUUAAUUGAUGUUAUUUCAAUUGAUAUUAUAAAAAAUAAGGUGGUAGAUUUAGAAAUAAUUUUUAAAAUAUCAAAUUUUAAUAAAUAUUUUUUUUUUCAAAAAUCUGAUAAACAAUCUCAGCACAUGAUAACCUUCCAAUCCAUCCUACUUAAGUGCUAUGGGUGUUGUGGUUGGGAUGUCACUGAAAUAACCUCCGUCCUCUCUCAUUUUUGCGGCCGGUGGUUAUUCUCAUUGACGGUGCCAAGACAUUGAGUAUUUUCUCUUCUUUCUGCUCGAUUUUAUAGAUAUUUUGGGAACAAGUUACCAAGUGGUAAUAUUAUGGGUAAUGGAGUGAGAGUGGUAGGAUCAACCACAGUCAGCUGGAUGCCCAUAUCUUUGACAGAUGGUAUUCCUCAACUAUGUCGGGUUCCUAGCUUUGUACCCCUUCUAUCUAGUACCUACAUAAAUUCUAAUUUUUUACAAUUUUUAUUGAGUUCUAAUAUUAGUCAAUUUUUAAAGACAACUGAUGUAAAAAUAUUUUUACCAAGUUUAAGCAACUGAUUAGAGGUAUUUUUUGUAAUUUAUUUUGAAAGGCUAAUCAUUUUUAAAAAUAAUUUAUAAAUAUAAAUAUAUUAUAUAACCAUCCUUUUAUGUAAAAAUUUUUUUUUUUUUUUUUUAAAGUAUCUGUUCUAUUUCUAUUCUUUUAAGACCUUUACUUCUCAAUGAAAGUCCACUGGACUGUUAGUAUUUUAAUGAAAUUGUUGCAGCUCUUUGUUUCCUGGAUUGAAGAAUGCUAUUAAUUGUCCAGGUUUUGGUCUUUAUAUAUAUUUUUUCCCUUAUGUGUUGGUUGAAUUUUAGGUAUAUAAUGUGCAUGUUUGCAUAUUUUCAUAAUUGUCAGAAUAAUUCUAUAAUUUCUUGUUCACAUGGAGUCUAUCUAUACCAUUUUCAUUAUACCAGAAAAUUUCUAAGUUGCCCUCGUAGUUGGUAUAUAAUUUACAUCUCUUUUUAUAAUCAAAAUUUAGUAGCUCUCAAAAAAGUUAUAUUUAUUGGCUUAUCUUCAACUUAUGUUUUUUAUUUUCUUUUUUGGUUAGGUUUUUCCAUAUUCUCAUGUGUUAUUUCUUCUACUUUACCUAGUAAAGGUGAAGGCACCUUGAGCACUAGGAGAUGGGUGCUUUUACCACUCAUUAGUCAUUUCCAUAUUAAAUAUAACAAUAACCUGAUGCAUGUGGUUCUGAAUCAGAUGUUUAUGUAAUGAUUAGCAAAGCAAACACAUUAGACUCUAAUCAUUGCUACCUGUGAGUCUAUUUGUUCAAAUAAUUACGAAUAGGAAGCUUAAGCCUCACAAGACACAGUCCUAUUGCUUCACUAGAUGAGAAAACCUUCCUUGCUAUAUGCAAGCCAGUAUUGGAGUGGCUAUUUGUCUACUAACCAGAUUCUUCAAGACCUCGAAUUCUAAGAUUAUAGGUUUGGCUAAUAAAAAGAGUCUGCCUUUGGAUAUGUCAUUCAUUAAUUGACAGAAGUAAGCCUUCCAUACAAGGAAAUAUAUGUGUGCGCCUAUAUAUUUAGAGAUAUAUAUUACAGUUGCAAUAAAUCUUAGGCAUAUUGAGAACUUUUUAACUAGUGUUGAAUUUUUGAUGUGGUUACUUUUGUUCCAGAUUAACAAUAAGAAAAUCUGUGCUUUAUGAUGCUGGUACUCUUGUUGGUAUGUAUUUCCAAGAGUCAAACCUGUGACUUCCAAAUCUUAUGAGAAGUACAUGUUAAAUUAUCAAAGUUCAGCUAUUUUUUCUUCUUUUAUAUAUCUUGGGGACAAAAGGAAGUGUUUGUGCAACGUAGUGUGCCUUCCUGGAAAAUUUGCUCGUUUUAAAAUAUCAUUGAUAGUAUGGUUAUAUCAAGAAACUAUCUUUUCAACUUAUAGCAAAUAAGAGACAUGAAUCUUUUUCUUUUAUUUGUUACACCUAUGAUCCAAUCUUACAUGGAACAUAAAUCACUAGCAUAUCAGACAAUGGAGCAUAGAUUGUUAUGAUAUGGGGAAUGGAAAUGAGUACACAAAACAGUAUAUAAACUGGAACGUGGUAAAUCAGGUUAGGCUUAAAUGGUCCAUCGAUUGGUUAUUAAAAAUUAGAUUGUUGUAAGAUAAAUGCAAUAAUACCUUUUUUUUCCCAUUUCUAUAGAAGGGGCUAUAUGUUGGUAGUUCUCUCUCCUUUUUGGCAACUUUUUAUUUUUUCCUUUAAAAUGGAUUGACCAUGUAAUGCCACAAAACUACUUAUUUCAUAUUUCUGUUAUUCUUUUGGUAUGUUAUAACUGUUGAUCCAGUUUGCUUUAAAGACUUGUAUCCUCUUGCAUUUUGUUAACUAUUUGUAAUCUUGUUUUGUAAAAUUCAAUGAUAUAUUAAGGUUUAGUUUUUGACCUCUUCAAGCUUGUUUUCUAAUUGUUCAUUUUUCUUAGCUCUUUUUUGAAACCUUAAGCCCGCUUCCUUGUUUUUCAGCUAGUUUCAUUUGGAAAUCUACAUCCCCACCUAAAGCAAAAGCCUUUUGUAUGGUCAGUGGCAAAUAAGCAACACCAACAAGAAGCUAUAGGUGAGCAGGCCUUAUAAAGGUUUUUGUUUAAAUUGUGUUUAUGUGCUUGUGGCAUGGUGAAUCAGUUGGUUAUAACUUUCUUCACUGCCUAUUUGCUUUAGGGAUUUGUUAUAAGUUGUUUGCAUAGCUGGGAUAGACAGGGUUUCUCAGAAUUUUGACAAAUAGGAUGAUUAUCUCUUUUAAGGAGUUUGGGAGACUCCCUAGAGGUGGAAUUCUUCGGUAAUUGGUGAGCCUCACUUUGAUUUGGAUAAGGUCAAUAAUUUUGUCAAGAAUUCGGUUGAUUUAUUUUCUUCUCUAUGACUUUAUAUUUUUGAAGCUUUGAACAGGUACUCCCUUGAAUCGCAUUUUGCUAUAUUGAAACGAAGCAGUACCAAAAUUUUUAUAGGAGUGAAGUGAGUUGAGCAUGUACAUGUUUGUCCUGUAGAGGGAGUGUAUGUAUGGAGUAAACUUUUAUUCUGAGGAGAUUUUUUCCAUUGAUUUACACGUGUGUGUGUGUGUGUGUUUGCAUUUAAUGGUUUGUUUAGUUGUCUGUUUCACAACAACAGAGAUAGGUUUCAUCUUGAAGAAUGCUUGCUGCAUGUAUUACUGAAAAUUCCAAGUACCCUAUUUCUUGAAUAAAAUUGAAGGAGAUAUUUUUUUGAGGGCUUGAUCAGCAUGGAAACAAGUAUCUUUUACUAGCUUUAUGGUGUGGUUGUGAGCAAUUGAGAUAGGAUCCGACUGAGAUGGUCCAGUUUUAGUCUGGACAAACCAUUUUGCCCCAGGUUUCGCUUUUCAAAAGCCAAGGUUUUGGAAACUGAUGUGCACCUUGUAAAUUCUAAUUAGUAUAUUGAACAACUUUGAUAAGAUUCCCUCUCACAAGCAAAGGGGCCCUACUGUAUUGGACUCCAUCAGGCUGAUUAAGACCCCCAGAAUGGACAUUAAAAGAGACGCUUUCAACUUAUUGGACGUUGAACUUACUUUUUGAUUGCAAAAAUGAAGAGGACCUUGUUCAAAUGCAUCAGUAGAAUGGCCAAGUUGUGGUGUAAAGUCUGUUUGUAGAAUGUGAAAAAUAUUCACCUUUUCCAGUGGUUUUUAAGGACAAGCCUAUGGUAUAUGGUAGAGUUAAAUCUCUUUAAAUAUGGAGGAGGUAGAUUGCCUUGAAAUCAUAUAAUCCCAAUUCAUUCUAUUACGGUAACUUUCGGGCAUUAAAGUUACUUUAAGCGUGGCUGAAUUAAUACCACAUGUCCUGUUAUAGUGUCAAAGAGACGCCUAAGUUUGGUUUGCUUUCAAUUCCAUAAUGCCCUUGAAAGUGACAUUAUAUUGAGACGUCCUAAUGGUCAUUUAAUAUUUUUUAUUUUUCCCCUUUUAGGUUUUUUAUUGUUGAACUUGCUUCCAUAUGAAAUACUGAGACUGAUGUGGAUGUCAUUGUUGUGAGCUCCAUCUAUCUUCCUUGCGUUAUCUGAACUCAGGUUGCUGUUACAAGAUUCCCCUAACAAGGCUUUCUUUAGUUUAGACCAUCUAAUCUCACUAAACAAAGCCUUCAUGUGGUCCAUUCUUGACUUAAAUUUGAAAAUCUUGCUGGCAUGAUGAGAGAUGCAAUAUAUUAUAUAUUAUAUAUUUAUAUUUAUAUUGAUGUAAAGCUUCCUCUGUAUACUUGUGUAUUUGGAUUUCUUAAAAUUCAUUUCUUUGCUUGCCAUGACUUCGUUUUUCUUACCCUCUAUUUGUUUGUUUUCUGCCCUGGAGAAUUUCCCAUCAUCCAAACAGUCUUUUCUCCCUCUGAUUUUUUUUUUUUUUUUAAAAUCUCUUCUCCCCACGCUUUAUUCCUUCUACUUUAUAGAGUUUUGUCCCUUGCACUAGCACUGCUCAUGGAAUUUGGAAAGUGAGCUUGAUACAAAAACUGAGCGCCUUUCCUGUAAUCCAGCAAUGUGGGCAUCAUCUGUGCGAUGGGAGUGCACACCACGCGCAGACCUUGAAAAAAAGAGGAUAUAACUGCUCUGAAAAUUAUGCGGAUGUUAGAGGUUCAAAGAAGAUCUUGUAGGGACUUCUUAUCAGUACAACGUGGUAAGACUCGAGUCUGUGAAAGCCAAGCUUUUGGGAUCCCCCUCCUAGGUAUAUACACCCACCACACGUCUCUGCCCACCGAUAAUCCUUAGCUUCUACACGCUGGUUAGCCAACCUUUCUCCCUCUGUUCUGUCGGAAUCGGUUCAGAAUUUGGCGGGGGUUCUCUGCACCUGCCAUGUGUCUCACUACUCCCCAAAACCUAAUCAUUUUUCACUCGAGGGCAUUGUGGUAAAGAAUGACUUCGGGGUUUUGACUAGUCAUACGAGCAUUGAAUUCUCAUUUUUAUCUAUUUAUUUAUUUUUUAUAUGCUCCCAUUUGUCCUGUAACUAUUCACUUCCAAUAGUUUCAUUGGCCGUGACAAUAACAAUUGAUUUUUAACCAAUUGAUGGAGAAAACUAAUCAUACGCUUAAAAUAGACUCUAUACAAUUCAACAGUUGGAGUGCGACAUGCAUAACUAAAUGGGCACUGCCUUUUUAAAAGGUCCCCCACCAUCUAAAACAAUAUGACAAUGUCCAUGGACCAAAGUGUGUGAUCAAUUUGGUGGUCUUGCCUUGGAAUAUUUUAGGUUGAGCCGGUUUGUUUUCUCCUAAAUUUUAUUUCAGUUUAGUCUUGCAAUCUCGACCACUCUUAAUAUCCAAUUCCCAAGUUGUAUAGACAGCCAUUACAAACGAUAAGGACCAGGUGGCUCCCACCUAAAUUAUUCACAAGCUGUUUGCCCCAUUUCUCUUGUCAUAUUGUGCCACAGAGAGAUGUUAAAUUUAUUGAUUUCAGAUUACUCAAUCAUCAUGAUUUAAUUGUUGGCGGUUCCCAAAAUGUCAUCCAAACAUGAUGGAUUAGUAGAACAAAAAUAAUAAUAAUAAAAAAUCAAAAGUAGACUCCCCCCGAUUAGCAAAGUAAACGAUGGUCAUCGGUUGCAUCCAUUUUAUUUGUGGGAGGUGCAAAUUGUGUUACGAAAGUGGGGGUGAAGGAGAAUAUGAUGAGAAGGAAAGUAGGUGGAACAUCGCUUUUAAUAAUUGAGAUUGAGAAAGAGAAGAGGAUGAGGGGAUGAGACAAGGGCCUUUCUAUUAUUUUAUUUCACUGUUAUUAUGGUCGCACUCUCUUUGAUCAUCUCCUUGUCACGAAUUUGAAAUUUCUUCCAUCUCCCUUCCUUUUCACUCUUUAUCAUGUUAGGAACUUAGGGCUUAGGACUUUAGUUUCCACCGCCCACUACAACCUCCUCUCAAAUCUUCCGACACCAACUCUUCAGUUACCCAUCUAGAAACUAUCUUCUAAUGAGACCUACUUAGUCUUUCUCCUACUGUCAAUUAAAAUCGAAGAUAAAUUAUUUGUUUAUGAGAUAAAGUGUGCCUUACGAAACUUCCAACCAAUUUCAUACCAACCACUGUUAGGCCACUUGAUAUGGGUCCCAAGUGACUCGCGGUCAACACACUCUUCUUUGAAAUGAACCUCUUUUGCCCAAUUUUGACUAGUCAAAUUCACAUUCAAUCUACCACGGUACCACCUAAUAAAUUGAAAUUAAUUAUCCUCUGCUUUUUAUUUUUAUUUUUGUUUCAUUACAAAAGAAAUUUUUUUUGGCCCUUGUGCAUAUUGGAGGCGAUACAGCCCAUGUCGCUGGAGUAUUUAUUCAGUUGAUGCAAGUAUUCUGACUUAUUGAAUAACUUUUACUCUUAAAUAUUAAUGCUCACUUACCCUGUUAGAAGAAAACGAUCAUCUUGAGACUGACAAGAAAGCGAGAGGAUUCAAAAUUUCAGCCUGUUUAUGCUGUGGCAAUCAUUCGACUUUGCUGAAAAUGAUUUCUUCUGCCUAAUUUUUUGUUAUUAGUAUGUGGAAUGAAUGAGUGGAGAGCAAGAAAAAUUUUGCGCCUUCGUGUACGUGUACUGCGUUCGGAAUUGAUCAUAGGUGAGGCCUAUGAAUGUAUCAUUCUAGAUGGAAAUUAAGUACAAGUACAAAUUAAGAGAAAAGUGGAAACAAAAAGAGUGGAGAAAUGCUCAAGGCCACUUAAUUAAAUAAGCCCACAAUUAAGAAAAUGCAAUUGUACUUGUGACCCAUAUGCCCUGAAAAUAUGUGACCCAUAUGCCCCUUCAUUCUCUCUCUUAUAGGCUGUAUAUCAAGUUCGGUUAACUUUUGGAUGCUACUGCGUGUAUAUUCUAGAACAUCAAAAUGGUCGGCUGGGUGAGCUGGGAUCCUCCGGGUGAUGAUAAAGUGGGGUCCAGUCAUGGCCGCGACGUGUUUUGAUCUAACCUAUUCAAUCUGACAUCCGACGGUCAUCAAGCUACAUGCGCUUUGAACCACUUUAUUCAGCAUCAUAUAAAGGUAAGCCCGUCAUAACAAAAUAACACCUUUAGGAAAGUCAGGAUGCCUUUAUUUCUUAGGCACUUGAAAAGUCAUAGGCCUUUUUCAUCCAUUGAAGUUUGCUCAUUCAUUCAUGAUUUAUAUAUAUAUAUAGAUUUUUGUGUGUCGUAGGACCUUUAUUUAACCAGAAAGUUCCCACUGAUAAAAGGGAAGGUGAAGGUGCUCUCAACCUCGGUCAUAUUAUUUGAUUUAAAUUAUUGGCCUCGCCAGAGAUUGUUAAAUUAUGGAUUUUUCCUUUAUAGCAUAGCACCUAUCAAUUUUUAUUUCCAAAUCUCACCCUCAGUGCGAAGCCAUGAAAUGUCUUCUCUAUUCUUUUUUAAUAUAAAGGUGAAUCCAAUCAUAAAGCAGAAGGGAGAAAGUUGUGGACAUAUUCAGAAUCUGUCCAGCAUACCCAGCCAUAGACGCAGGCUUCCAAUGUGUUGUACAUAUAUGUUGAUAUACAGGGCUUCUCUUCGUCUCGAUCACCUCCCUUGCUUAAAUUUUAGCUUCUCCAAUUUUUUUAUUUUUUCUAAAUUAUUUGACCCCAUAUUGACAUGGAACAGUCAAUUUGUAACAAGUGGCAAAGUCGGGAAUCUCGAGGUAGAGUUUGGUUUUCACCCUGAAAACGCGGAAGGUUUGAUGGAGUUCCUUUAUUUCAUGUGUGACAAAUCCCCAUACAUAGCCCACAUGUUCACUCUGAUCUUAUGCUAUUAUAUUUCCGAAGGCGGUCCCGAAUUGAAAAGACUCCUUCAUCUACCAAAUUCAAUGUCACAAAAGAAUAUAAUAAAAAUAAACAUCAAAAUGCAUCUUAAAAUUUUAUCAUCUACAAUUCUCUAUUUUUUAUUUUUACCAAUAAAAUAGAUGUCAGUAAAGGAGUGGGAAGUCAACUAUCUGAAGUUAAAACAAGUCCUGCUCUUCCGUAUUCAUAAUAAAUACGAAUUUUAUUUAUAUGGUAACAGAUGAUGUGAAUUACAAAUACAAAGCGUUCGUCACACGGAACUUCUCACACAAAAGCAGAGGCCACUCCACUCACUUCAUAAUUCAUUUCUCCUCCUCCUCCUCCUCCUCCUCCUGCUUUCUCCCUCUCUUAGCUUCCUUCUCCCACCAUGACUUCAAAAGACUGCGGCAACCAUAGGCACAAGCAUCAUAAGCUGAGGCGAUGCUUCGCCGGAUUGCUUAUCUUCUUCUUCAUCGUCCUCCUCGUCGUACUCCUGGUGUGGGCAAUCCUCCAGCCCAAGGACCCACGCUUCGUCCUCCAAGACGCCACCAUCUACGCCCUCAACGUCUCCACCCCGAAUAUCCUCACCGUCAACAUCCAAGUCACCAUCACCACCCGCAACCCCAACGACAAGAUCGGCAUCUACUAUGAGAAACUCGACACCUACGCCACCUACCGCGGCCAGCAGAUUACCCUCGCGUACCUCAUCCCCCCCACCUACCAGGGCCACAAGGAGAUCAUCACCUGGUCACCUUUUCUCUCCGGCACGGCCGUACCCGUGGCUCCCUACAACGCCAUUGCACUGAAUCAGGACCAGUCGUAUGGCGCCCUCACCUUGAUCAUCAAGAUUGAUGGACGGGUGAAAUGGAAAGUUGGUUCCUUCACAUCAGGCCGUUAUCAUCUUAACGUCAAGUGUGUGGCGCCUAUUACUUUCGGUGCCAGGAGCAGCGGUGUUGUUAUCGGUAACGCCGUUAAGUACCAGAUGGCUUCCACUUGCAGCGUCAGCGUUUGAGCUUCUUCACGCCGUUAGUAUUAUUUCUCUCCCUUUGUCCUCUUCUUUUAAUUCUGUUUCUCUCCCUUGAGUCUCUAGUCAUACGUCUUUUGAAUUGUACAUUUUGCUAAGAAUAAAAGCGGAAAAAAAUUGGAAAGCAAAAUUGCAAUGUUAUGAAAAUUGUAUAACCGUGCUAUUAUAAGAUUAUGAUUUGUGCAAUAAUUAUUUCCAAGGGGUGGAGGGUGUGCUGUCCCUUUCUAUCAUUUUUCUAUGGUUGCUUCCUUCAAGAAAAUGAAAAUUAAAAGGAUGGGGGCACCUGUUUUAUUUUAGAGUGACUGGUUGAUGUGAUCCAUAAUUUUAUAUGUAUUUUGUCUUUCGUUUUUCGCAAAAUAGAAAGUCCAAUUCAUGAACACACCUAAGUUAAUUAGGUGUUAUCUUCAAAGUGGAUAGCAAGAAAAACGGUCACAUGGGGCUAUUAAAUCUCUUUUUCGCAAUGGGAGGAGAUGGUAAAAGUUUCCAAUAUCUCAAUAUAGUAGAAACCCAAGCCUCACCCAUUCAACACAAGAAUUUUUUUCUUUGUUUUAGAGAGAGAGAGAGAGAGAGAGAGAGAGAGAAUACCCUUAAAAGUAAUGUGAAGGUCGUAGCUGGUGUAUGGGUGUUGCAAUCUUGGGCAAAAGGCAUGAGUAGUGAGUUGUGGGUGUUGGGUCUUCAACAGUUCAACACUCGUAUGGCUUUGGUGGCUGUCCUUUUCGCUUCUCACCUGCCCUACCUACUAAUAAUAAUUGCUUUGUUAGAAAUAGACUUUUUUUUUUCUAAAUGUCUACGAUCGACGCUCCUGCUUUUCUUUCCCCAGUGUCUUUUAGAAGAUGAUGUCGGUCGAAGAUCCCACGUGUAAGAAAAUUUAAGUCCACCCAGUGCAUCAAUCUUCAACAUAAUCUCAUAUUGCCCAUCUAUUUUUGUCUGGGAGAAUCAUGUAUCAUAUAUUCAUAUGCACUUCCAUAUCCAUGCUUAUACCCACCCCACUCACUCCUUUUUGGACCUGUGCUAGCUCGACCAGCAAAACAUUGGGCUUUAAGUGCUUAUAUUAUGGGCUGGGCUAGGCAGUUUCUGCAACUUCAAAGCCCAUGCACUGAAAUAUUGUAUAUAUUAACUUCCACAAGUAAUGAAUUGAUAAAAUCUCUUACUCAAAAGGCCACAGCAACAGCAUUCACCCAUAAUAGAUGAGACAAAAACAAAUUUUGGUUUCAAUUUUGAAAUAUUGUGAAUUUAUUUUAGAUUAAUUUUUUGUCUAAAUUUUUUUAUGAAAUUUAAUAUCUGAAUUUGAUGAGUUAUGAGACAAAAAUAGUGAUCAUUUGUAGUAAAGUGUUGUUUCAAUUUUGGAAUAGUGUGAUUUUAUUUUAGAUUAGUCUCUUAUUCAAAUGAAAGUGAUUUUAAUAUUGUUCAUCUUCUUUUUUAGUUACAAUUUAUGAGAAAAUUUAAUAUCUAAAUUUUCUUGAGAAAAAUGAUAGAAAUUACGUUUUUAAAAUUUUUAUUUUAUUUUUAAGAUAAAAGCUAUCUAAAAUUUUUUUAAAUGAAUUUUAUUUUAUUUUAUGUAAGAAAUUACGUUUUAAGUAUUAUAAUAAAAUUAAAUUUUGAAAAGAUAAAAACGAAAAGAGAAGAAGUGAUACAAGUUAAAAAAAAAAAAAAAAGGAUCUCUAACUUCCUUGUAAUUUUUUUUUAUUAAAAAGAAAACAAAUCUUAAAUAAAUUUGUUAUAUUUUUAUAACCAGACCUACAGGUUGGACCCAAAAGGCCUAAGGUCCAUGAACUGGAGUCAGUUUGGGAGCUUGCAUUAUUAACUCCCAAAGAUCGUCCAGAACUAGGCCAGACUAGGUAUAGUGGAGCACUGCAUGAGCAAGCUGGGCCUCUCUGCCAAAUAUGAAAGGGUACGCCAGACUUCAGCAAUAUGUUUACCCGAUCUCAAGAUUGGCCCAAAAGUAGGCCCAUUCCUACAUAGUCCAUGGUCACGAUAUAUAUAUAUAUAUAUAUAUAUAUAUAUAUAUAUAUAUAUAAAGGCUGUUCCACAUUUGCGUUAAACAACACCGGUCAAGGGCCAAGGCACCAAACAUUGUUGGACCGAUCAAGGGCAGACACGCUUGUAUAGGAGUUUUGACCCAAAAUAGUAUAUUUAAAAAAAAAUAAAUUCAUAAAAUAAACUUGUUUCCAAAAUAAAGCUCGAUCUACAUUUGUGUUACAUAAACUGUCAUAUCAUAAAACCAUAGUCGGUAAUGAUGAUUUUAUUUUUUAAAAACGGUUAGAAACUGUAGUCACCAACCAUAAUUUUAAUUUUAAAUUUAAAGUCGCUACGAUUUUGAAUUCUUUUAAAAUUUGUCAAAAACGUAGUUACCAAUUGCGAUUUUAACUUUAUAUAUAUAAAUUUAAUUUUUUAAAUAAACAUAUUAUAUUAUUUUGAUUUUAAAUAAACUUAUUUCAUUAUUUAAAAAAUAAUAAUAUAUGAGAUUAAAUAAUUGAUAUUUUUAUUUGAUAUAAAUAUAUAUAUAUAUAUAUAUAUAUAUAUUAAUUUUAUUAAAACAAUAGGCACUAUAUUUAAUAUAAAUAUAUUUAGUUAAUUAUAUUUAUUUAAAACAAAUAAAUUGUGAAAGCUUAUUAAAAAAACAAAUAAUAUAAAUUAUUAUAUUAAUUAGUAAUUUUUUAUAUACUAUAUAUAAAUGGCAUAUAAUAUCACACGUAUAUAAGUUCAAUUUAAGUUUAAAAUUUAUAGUUCAUAAUAUUAUAUUGAUAUGAUAAUAAUUUACUUAUAUAUUUAAAUAAAAAUAUGAUAAAUUUUAAAUUUAAAUUAAACUUUUAUAUAUAGGUGAUAUUAUAUACCACUUACAUAUAAUACAUAAAAAAUUAUUAAUUAAUAUAAUAAUUUAUAUAUAUAUUUUUUCUAAAUAGUCUUUCAUAAUUUAUUUAUUUUAAAUAAAUAUAAUUUAUUAUAUUUCAUUUAUAUUAAAUAUAAUGCUAAUUUUUUUAAUAAAAUUAAAAAAAAAAUAUUUUUAUAUCAAAUUAAAAAUAUCAAUUAUUUAAUUUUAUAUAUUAUUAUUAUUUAAAUAAUAAGAUAAAUUUAUUUAAAAUCAAAAUAAUAUAAUAUUUUUAUUUUAAGAAAAUUAAAAUUAAAACGUGGUCCGUGAUUAUGGUUUCUAUUUUAAAAAAAUAAAAUCAUAAUCACCUAUUAUCAGCCAAUUUUAGAUGGUAACCUGAAAGGCCCAUUACCAGGAUUUGUGCGCCAUUGCGACGCGUGUGGCGCGCCUACCGAGUUUGACUGAUAAGCCACGAGAAAUGUUAGGAAUCUUCUAAUUUGUCCUCUACGGUUCAUGGCAUCUUUCAUGUGAGAACGAAAGCUACGAAGUUUCCUGGGCAACUUCCCAUCCACAAAAAUUGCGUUCAAGAUUAUCAUGAACUCCUUCCACCUCACCCACCCCUUUUUUAAUUCGACCCCAUUUUCCAAUUUUACGUGCCAUGACUUUAUCAUACCUUUAAUCAAUCAUAUUUUAAGAAAUGCUGCAUUGUUUUUUCAAGUUAAAUGAUCUCACGUGUAGACAAACUGAUAAAAAGGCAAUUAGAUUACGCAAGACUUAUGCGUUAACUGUUUCAUAAGUAAAAGAAUUUGGCUACCCACCCGGCUUUGACAAUGAUUGGUUUUGCCUAUUUUCUAUCUUUCCUUUUGCAUUCUAAUUUCCGUGAGCUUCCAUGGAUCUUUUUAUCCAACUUCAAAAUGAGAAAUGGGUUUAAUCAUAUAUAGGGUAGAGGAAAAGUGGAAAAACAUUGUAGACUGUAGAGUUGCUCUCAAAGUUUGUUACUUCCUGUGUGUUCCUAUGACUUUCAUUAAAGAAUAGGAUUUACUAUUUGCCCAGUUAAAGUCUCAUGACAUCACUUUGAAUUCUUACCAGAAUUAUUGGAAGAAAAUGUCUUAAUAAAUAAAAAAAUAAAAAAACCUACUAAAAAUAUCUAAUGGAAACAAAGUAAAGCGUUAAAUAAAUCUACUAAAUUAACAUUUGAAUUCUUUUCUAAACAUUAAUCUCAUUCCAAGUGCCUUUAAUUUUAAUACUUUUAAAUAAUUUCCUUUAAUUUAUAUAAUAUAUGUAAUAUUAUCUUUAUAUAAUAUUAAUUACAUUAUCCUUUAAUUCUAAAAAUGCAUUUAAUAAUGAUGGUCCGGAGUUUUUCUAAUUUUUUUAAUACGUAAAACAAAAUUUAUUUUAGAAAUAUUAUAAACAAUUUUUUAGAAUAGUUGUGAAAUGCACUUUAAAAUACAUUGAAUUAUGAAUUUUAAUUAUAUAUUUUAUGAUGCUUGAUGAUUUUAAAAAGAGGCCAACAUUGUUUAUUUUAAAUAUAUCUUCAUGAUAGAGCAAGAUUUUUUCCAUGUGUGACUCUAAGAUCAUAAAAUGAGGUGACAUUGGUAUGACAAUUAGAAAUGUUAAAAAAUACAAAUAAAAAUUUAUAUAUGUAGUUUGGCAUAUCGGGUUGAAUAAAAGGUAAUUACAUGAUGUUAAAAUUAAGUCUAUAUCAAUUACUUAUGUUAAUUAAUUUUAAUAAAAAGUGGAAAUAUUGCAAAUACAAAUAGAAAUGAAUGUAGAAAAUAAGUUUUUUUAAAUAGUUUAAGAAAAUUAAUAUUAUAUAUUUAAUUCAAUGUGAUAAAAUAUUUAGGAAUUAAAAACUGAAAUCAAUGUGGCCGAUAUGAUAAGAGUUUUUUUUUUUUUUUUUUUUUUAAUUUGAAAUGUGAAGAUAUUUUAUAAGAUAUUGAGUUGAUUAAGAAAUAGAAAUAAAUAAUACAAUGGGAUAUUUUGAGAAAAAUAAGUUCAUAACAUUUUAUUCUUAAAAAAUAUGUAAAAAGGAAAUUAAGUAAUAUAUAUAUAUACAAUUUUACUAUUAAUAAACCUCAUCACCAUUGCAUUAAUAUCUACAUUGUUUUUUUUUUAACUCUUCAUUUUUAUUAUGCAUUUAUACUUAAAAAUCAAUAAAAGCAUAUAAAAAAAAUAUUUAAAAUCUAAUAAUAUAUUUUAAAAAAAAUAUAGAAAAUAAUGUUUAGGUAAAUGAGGGAAUAGAAUAAUUAGUAAAUAAAUUUCUUUUCACUUAACUCCUUCCGAUUCUAAACAGAUGCUUAAUUUCUUGGUACUUUUAUAUGUAGGAUAGAAUAUAGAUAUAAAUAUAAAUAUAGAUUAUUUCACCAACCUCUAGUUUGAAAAUAAAUAUUUUUAAUUAAUUUCUCUAUAAAAGUCAAAUAACAUUUUUCCCAUUUCUUAAUAUUUUUCUAAUGGAAAAUAAGCCAAAAGGAUCUGAAAUCAAAAUCAAGUAAUCAAAUAUGCAAAAAGUCUAGUUAGACCGCAAUGCUUACCAUAUUUUAAAAGCUGGUAAUAAUUCUGACAGCCUAAAAUUUCUAGAUUUAGUAAGUUCACUUGAUAAAAAUAAUGUCUGUGCUCAUGACAAGGCAUAUUAAAUCUGGCACACAAUCCCCCCAAGUCUAAUCACAACCAUUGGUAAUGAAUUCAUAAUCUUAUUCGUGUAUGUAUGAUAUUACUUGGAGAGAACAAAUUUGAAAUGCCAAAAUGCGACACAUCAGGCGUGACCAAAUCAGCAGAUUGAUAAGAAAAGGGAAACAAAUUAAUACAUUCAAAAUUUGACACAUUCCGUGUUAGAAGUUACUAGAAAGGAAAACACGUUAUGAACAAAAAUCAUCAUGAAAUUUUGUGGUGUCAGCCGAAAAGGACCGUGUGUAAGGAGUCAACGGAUGUCUGGAAGUAUCCAUGUAGCAUCGCUACCCACGCACAAAGCAACCGCGUUGAUUUUAAGCCUGAUACCGCGGCCUCAGUCGUGUUCUUCCUCAUUAAAGAACUACACCUGCGCCCUGGAGUGCUUGAAAUUAUCCUCACCUCUUCGGCUCUUCACACCAUUCCCGGCUCUAUAUAUAUUCGCAUUCAUCUCUCCUAAUUUCAUCGAAUCCCAUCUACGCAUCUUUCUCUUUUUGUCCACUGCGUACUUGUUUGUCUGUUGUAGUCUUAUACCAUGGCUGACGUUGAGAAACAAACAUUGAAUAAAGGCUACUAUGGCCCCUCAAUUCCUCCAAAAUCACGAUCCUACCACAGCCACGGCCGAGGCAGCGGAUGCGGCUGUUGCUGCUGCCUCCUAGGCUUUUUGCUCAAACUCAUUGUCACCGUCGUUAUCAUCGUAGGGAUUGCAGUCCUCCUCUUCUGGCUCAUAGUCCGUCCCAACAAGGUUAAGUUCCAUGUGGUUGAUGCCUCCCUCACCGAGUUCAACCUUACCAGCGACAACAUCCUUCAGUAUAACCUUACCGUCAAUAUGACCGUCCGCAACCCCAACAAGCGUAUUGGUAUAUACUUUGAUCGCAUCGAAGCCAAGGCGUACUAUGAGGACGCCUUGUUCGAUUCUGUUGAGUUGGAACGAUAUUACCAGGGCCACAAGUCAACUCAUACCCUGAAUCCAGAGUUUACUGGGGAGAACUCUGUAUCGCUUGGAGCAUCCGAGCUUUCGAAUUUCAAUUCGGAGAAGGCUUCAGGAACUUACAGUAUUGAUGUGAAGCUGCGUCUUCGGAUCAGGUUCAAGUUGGGAAUAUUGAAGAUUGGUACGUUCAAGCCCAAGGUUACUUGUGAUUUGAAGGUUCCUUUGGAUUCUGAUGGGACAAGCAGUGGUACUUUCCAAACCACCAAGUGCGACGUUAAUUUCUGAUCAUCUGAUUCAGGCUCCUGCUCGCCUUCCUGGCUCUUUGAUCCACUUCGUUGUUGAUUUCUUUGAUUUGCAUAUUAUUCUUUUGUUUGUGGGUACACAUAGCAUCACAUAUCGUUUUCUUUCCAUUUCCCUCCCUUUUGUAGGGAUGGUUUAGACGUGAUCAUGUUGGUUUCUUCUUGUUCAUAGAUUAUGCCAUUUUUGGUUAUGUAUAUGUUAUGUUAUAUUUAUGAGUUUCGUUAUAAUUUUUAUUUUUUUCGGUUAAUCUUCGCUGCAUUUUUCAAUUUGGUAUACACGCUGGGGCAAAUUUUAAUUAUUUGGUGAACUGCUUCUUUGGUUCGUCGGUGAAAUAUAAGUGGACGAAUUUAUUAAUAAAACCUGACUUUGUUCUUAUACGUUACAUGGAGAACGAUGCCAAGUGCUCCUACGAUCAACUCGAACGAAUGAUGCGUGACUGAUUCAAUGUGACCACGCGUGGGCAUUGUGUCGGUGAAAUGCAACAAUCUAUAAUCUAUUCAGAUAAGAAUGCUGGGGGGCCAUAGAAGGGUCUCGCAGAUGACAUCUAAUCAAGCCUCCUGCUUUGUCCAAAAAAUUUAACAUUUAUAAUUGAAAAAGGAAAUUUAUGUAAAAGAUUUCAAGUUUAGAGUUUAAAAUUUACGUAAAAGAUAUUAUUUUCCUUUAAUUAUAUUUUUAAAUGCUAAAAGAAGUUUUGAAGCUUUAAUCAUCUUUUUCGAUUAUUCAAGGGGGUUUUUCCUUAUUUGUAAUUUUAAAUAAUUUAUAUAAUUAUUAAUUAUUGUAAAGCUUACGUUUUCAUAUUAUUUCUCAUUAUUAAACACUAUUUUCUCUAGAUUAUAUUUUUAAAGUUGAAAAUUGAUAUUGGUUAAAAGAAGUUUUUGAAUAUUCGAUGUUAUUUAUUUUUAUAAAAAUUUUAAAUAAUUUAUUAUGUAUUAUUAUAUAAUAUCAUGGGUUGUUGGUUUAGAAAACCACUGUACAUUUCAAAUUUGAGAACUUUGUUGUCGUUUUUCAUUUUUUCGUACGUUUCACACGUGCGCUUCAGAUUCCAGAACAUGGACUUAUUUUUUAUUUUUAAAACCAAAAAUUUCUAUAUAAAAAAUAUAAACUUAGUUAAUUUUCUAUUUUCAUUUUUAUAUUAUAUAACAGCGGGUGGGAGUGGAAAUGUGAUUUGACUUGCACAGCCAGACUAAGGAAAAAAAAAAGGUUCCAAGAAAAAUCUGGCUUCAUAUGGGAAACUUAGGUUUUAGGUUAUCAAUAUCAAAACAAUAGUAUAUCAUACCCCAGGUUUGCCAAUUUCAAGUUUACGAUGCUAACCUCAAAAAUAUUUUGAGUCUCAUGCACUUUGGACUGAGUUGUUUUUUAAUUCCCAAAAUGCCCCCCUCCUUCGAUCAAGUCAACCUCCACAAAGUUUAAAAAAAAAAUAAAAGAUUAAAAAUAAAAAACAACUUAAUAGCAGAAACCUUCCUUCUUCGUUUAUUUCUAUAUGUAAACCCUCAGUUCACUUUUCCUUCUUAUCUUCUUUAUUUCCUCAUUCCUUUAUACACAUCUAACUAGUAUAAACCAUAACGGAAAACCAUAGUCAUUUUCUUCAUUUUUCCUCCUAGUGUGUGAUAUGGUAGAAGUUGUGCAUUCUUGGGUGCCUCUGCCUACCACCACCGCCACCCACCACCAUCUCCUCACAUCUCAUCCUUUUCACCUCUCUCACUCGACUUCCUCUUUCUUUAUGCCUCUAUCAUUCUCAUCCCAGGUACUCUCUCUCACUCUUUGUUUUUAUAUGUAUAUGAUUUGAACGAUAGUGAUCGAGGGAUUUUUCUUUUAAAUUUUUUAUUGCUUGAGAAUGAUUUCAUAAUUUAUUGUAAUUCUAAGGCUUUCUUAUUGAUUUUUGUUUUUUUUCCAUGCCAACAUGCUUCAACUUGAUUGGGCUUAUCUAAAAUUUUUAGCUUUCAUGUGCUCAAUUGCUGAGAAAUUUGUUGAAAUUGAAAGGAAAUAUAAAGUUUUGACAUUUUUAGGGAUUGAGUUGGGUGAAAGUGAAUGACUGAGUUUAUCUUUGUCGAAUAGUUGUCCAUACAUCACUAAACUAAUAUUUUGAUCGGAAUCAUUGAGCUAAUUGUUAUUGUGUUAAUUAAAUGAAGGAUUAAGCUAUUUUCCAAAUGUUAAGCUUGUAGGAAAAUUUUACAUCUUGUCUUUGUUUUUUUCUUUUUUGUCUUAUGUGAUGCUUUGUCAAGAGGAUAUUUUAGGGAAAUGAUUUUCUACAAGUGAAUGAGAAUCAAUGGAAAAUACACUUUUCACUUAUCUAAUCAAUCAAAUAUAACUUAAAGGUUUAGAUUUUAUUUUAUUUUCUAUUCUUUUCCUUGGUAUCUUAGCAAAUAAAUAGAGAAUUAGGAAGAUUCUUUUGAUAGAUUUGUUUUUCCCAUGACUAAGGUGUGGUUUGAUGCACUUCCGAUUUUUCAUUUUUAAAAUAUAGAAUAAUAGCAACUUUAUAUAAAGUUUAGGAACUCUAAUACAAAAUAAAUAAAUAAAUAAUUUAUUUUAUAUUUUAGGUUCCUUAAACUGAUUAUUUGUUUUAAUGCUUCUUAAUCUAAAUUGUUGUUCCUGCAUUUUAAAUAAGAAAGGUAUACAAGUUGAUUUUUUUUUAAUGAAAUUAAGAUUUGAAAUAGAUUAAUGUUGCAGUUACCAAAAAAUUGAGCAUUACAUGUCCAAUCAUGGUCCUUAUUUUGUGCAUGCAUUCCCCUAAAGGAGAAAUUUCUUUCACUUACACCUUUCAAGUUAGCAAAUAGAUUGUCAUUGCUUAAGCAAGGAACAAAUGGAGUUGCCUUCUCCAAUCACCGGGGUUUUUUUCUAUUGUGGAUUGAGUUCCUUUUCCCAAAUUCUUAUUAUUGAUAAUGGUAAUGAAGUUUAUAACUUGUAGAAAAUAAGUAGAGUUAUUCAGUGCUCUUCUUUACCAACGUGUCUUGCUAGGUCCUUCUAGUUGCAUGUUUUUUAAUGCAUAUUUUGUUCUUAAAACUGAAAACAAAAGAACAAUAUUAUGGUACAGUUAAGUUUUUGGAAACCAAAAAUGUUGAAGGCUAGUAAAAUAAAAAUAGGGACAAGUUCGCUAGAAUCUGACCAAAGGCAACAUCUUUCUAUGUGCUUUGACAAACUUAUGACAAACAUAAAUCUAAACUUGGACUCAAAAAACAGGGACAAGUUCGCUAGAAUCUGACCAAAUUCAAGAACGAAUUCUGCAACAAAUAAAUUGUGACAUCUUUCAUACAACAACAACAAUUUUAUGCUAGCAAGAGGCAUUGUUCAUUAUUGAAGUGCUUAAAACAACCUAGUUUUGAACAGACUGCCUCCACUGAGUCCAAUUUAGUUGCAAUGGGAAGAACAUUCAUAAGAGUUCGCAAACAGAAAUUGGAAAAAUUCUAAGGGGUAGAUAUGUUUUCAAAUUUUAAAGAAAAAUACAACUAGAUUAUGUUAAUUUACAUUAUCUACUAAGAAGAUAUGUAUGAAGAAUUUUUAAUACAUUAAAAAAAAUAAAAUUGAUAGAUAAAAUAAACUUGUCAUGAGAAUCCUCAUGCUCCUACAACUUUGAAGCAAAUUUGAACAUUUUUUUUUCACAAAUUAAGUAACUAAGAUUCACAAAUGAAGUUUUGAAAGUUCACAUAGGUAGUACCCAAGUUUCACUAAGGUAGUACCCAAGUUUCACUAAGGUAGUACCUAAGGUUAAGUAAGCUAGUACCUAAGGUUCCUAAAAUACUAAGAUGAUGUCCAAUAAGGUAAAAACAUCUUUUUUAAUGUCCAUUAUGGGGGUCUUAAUUGGCCUAAUGGAGUCCAAUAUAGUAGGGCCCCUCUGCUUGUGAGAGGGAAUCCAAUCACAGUUGUUCAAUAUGCUAAUUAGAAUUUGAAAGGGGCACAUCGGUUUUUAAAACCUAGGCUUUUGAAAAGCAAAACCUGGGCCUAAAUGGUUUGUCUAGACUAAAACUAGACCAUUUUAGUUGGAUCCUGUCUUAAUUACUCACAACCACACCAUAUAGUUGGUAAAAGAUACAUGUUUCCAUGUUGAUCCAGCCCUGAAAAAAAUAUUUCCUUCAAUUUUAUUCAAGAAAUAAAGUACUAGGAAUUUUCAGUAAUACAUGCAACAAUUAUUCUUCAAGAUGAAACUUGCCUUUAUUGUUGUGAAAUAGACAACUAAACAAACCAUUGGUAUAUAUAUAUAUAUAUAUAUACCAAUGGAAAAAAAAUCUCCUCAGAAUAAAAGCUUACUCCAUACAUACACUCUUUAUACAGGACAAGCAUGUACAUGCUCAACUCACUUCACUCUUACAAAAAUUUCAGUACUGCUUCUUUCCAAUAUAGAAAAAUGUGAUUCAAGAAAAUACCUGCUCAAAGCUUAAAAAAUAUAAAGUCAUAGAGAAGAAAAAAAAUAAACCAAAUUCUUGACAAAAUUAUUGACUUUUACUUGUCCAAAAAUUCUACCAUUCCUUGUCUUCCAAAUUAUCCAAAUCAAAGUGAGGCUCACCAAUUACCAAAUAAUUCUAUCUUUAGGGAGUCUCCCAAAUUCCUUAAAAAAGAUAGUCAUCCUAUUUGUCAAAAUUCUGAGAAGCCUACCCUAUCACAGCUAUGCAAACAACUUCUACCAAAGCCCUAAAGAAAAUAGGCAAUGAAGAAAGUUAUAACCAAUUGAUUCACCAUGCCACAAGCACAUAAAACAUAAUUUGAACAUAAAACUUUAUAGGGCUUGCUCACCUAUAGCUUCUUGUUGGUAUUGCUUAUUUGCCACUGACCAUACAAAAGGCUUUUGCUUUAGGUGGGGAUGUAGAUUUCCAAAUGAAACUAGCUGGAAAAAAAAAAAAAAAAACGAGUUCAAGGUUUCAAAAAAGAGCUAAGAAAAAUGAACCGUUAGAAAACAAGCUUGAAGAGACCAAAAACUAAACCUUAAGAAAGGUGAACCUAGUGGCCAAUGAUAUUAAUCACAUAAUCUCAAAUGUGCCAUACAUCAUAUAUCAUUGAAUUUUACAAAGCAAGAUUACAAAUAAUUAACAAAAUGCAAAAGGAUGUAAGUCUUUAAAGCAAACUGGAGCAACAAUUAUAACAUGCUAAGAGAAUAACAGAAAAAAAUAGAUGAACUUUGAUAACUUAACGUGUACUUUUUCGUAAGAUUUGGAAGUCACAGGUUUGACUCUUGGACAUAUAUACCAUGAAGAGUACCAGUAUCAUGAAACACAAAUUUUCUCAUUGUUAAUCUAAAACAGAAGCAACUACAUCAAAAAUUCAAUAGAAGUUAAAAAGUUCUCAAUAUAUAUACCUAAGAUUUAUUGUGACUAUAAUAUAUAUAUAUAUGCAUGCACAUCUAUUUCCUUGUAUGGAAGACAUGCUUCUAUUAAUUCAUGGAUGACAUAUCCAAAGACAGACUCUUUUUAUUAGCCAAAUCUAUGAUCUUAAAAUUCAAGGUCUAGAAUAACCUAGCUAGUAGACAAAUGGCCACUCUAAUACCUAAACAACGUAAUGAUAAAGUGAAGGAAAUGGUUUGCAUAGAGCAAAGAAGGUUUUCUCAUCCAGUGAAACAAUAGGAUUGUGUAUUGUGAGGCUUAAGCUUCUUAUUCAUAAUUAUUUAAAUAAAUAGACUCACAGGUAGCAAUCAUAAGAGUCGAAUGUGUUUGCUUUGCUAAUCAUUUCACAAAUGCAAAAGCUAAACAUCUUAUUCAAAAUCACAUGCAUCAGGUUAUUGUUAUAUUUAUGGAAAUGACUAAUGAGUAGUAAAAGCACCCAUCUCCAAGUGCUCAAGGUGCUUUCACCUUUACUAGGUAAAGUAGAAGAGAAAAGCGCUCAACAUGUGAGAGUAUAGAAAGACCCAACAAAAAAUAAAAAUGAAAAACACAAGUUGAAGAUCAGCCAAUAAACACAACUUUUUUUAGAGCUACUAAAUUUUGACCAUUUGAUUAUAAAAAAAGAUAUGAAUUAUAUACCAGCUAUGUGGGCAACUUAGAAAUUUUUGAUAUAAUGAAAAUGGUAUAGAUAGACUCCAUGUGAACAAGAAAUUGUAGCAUUAUUCUGACAAUAAUGAAAAUUCCUUCUAACUCCAGUUUCCAUCUUAUUUAUGAUUGCCAAGCAAAUGUGGGAAAAUAAAAGUAAAUAAAAAACUCUGAAUCUUAGAACUUUUUUUUUCCAUAGAAAUAUUUAGAAUGAAAAUUUUCCACUCAACUUGACCAAAUUCAAGUAUUUAUUCAUAAAAACUAUAUAAUUGGAAAUUUAUUUUCCUCAAAUUUUGAUAGGAAUCGCAAUAAAAAGAAGAAUUUCUCAACAAAAAUUUAUAAAAAAAGCUGUAAAAUUGAAAUUUUAUUUUCCUUAAAUUUCAAUAGAAAUAGCAAUAUAAAAAAAGAAUUUCUUAACAAAAAUAUAUAGAAAAAUACAUAAAAAGACGACAUUCUCUAAAACAUACAUACAUAUAUGUGCUAAAAUAGACAUGAACAUAGGAAACCUAACCUUAAUCAAACACCAAAAUCUUGUGAUUUUGACAUCCAAAUCCUAAUACCAAAACCUUAAUUCUAAACCUCAGUAUUAUGAUUUCCACAACAAUGGAAGAAAAAUAAACAUACAAACCCCUCCUCCCACCUAAAAAAAAAACUUAACAAAAAACAACACAAAUAGCUUGAAGAAUUGAAGAAAACAAGAAACCCAAAUGGGAACCCCAGAUUUGGACAUGAACAUUGUUGAUAGUGCUAAAAGACAAAAGACAACAAAAUCAUACCCGUAGACAAACAAAGAAAAAUAAAAAACAAAAAAGGCAGAGUCAGAUAUCCUUCAACGAGAAUGAUUAAAUUGAAAAUGUUGGCAGUGCUACUGCUCCAUCACAAUUCCGAGAUAGAGAGGACGGGGGAAGAUGGAAAUGAAAGAGUUUGGAAAGUGUAAUGUGACUGAAACACAUGUAAAGAAGUCGAUAAUGAUGGGUAUCCCAUGCCCUCCAAUCUGUGUCGUCCAUUUAUGACAAGAAGAUGUUAGGGUUAGGUUUUACCAUAUUAUUGGGAUUUCAGGAAUAUUUGAUAAAAUAAGAGGUCCGUGUUUUUACGAGAUUUGAUUUUUUCAUAUUCAGAUCAACACGAGGAAAGUAUUAGAGUUUUUGGAUUUUUGGGUUUCAAGAGGGAGAGAAGCAUAUAAAGGAUGAAGUUUUCUAUUCAAUCUUAGCGUCGAUCAGGGCAGAGAGAAAAAUGUAGACUGUUUUUUAGUUUUUAGUUUUUUAAUCUAUGUGGAAGAUGGGCCGGAGGAAAGAGGAGGGCAAUUUGGAUAUAAAAUAACAACUAGGCUCAAAGUGCAGCUCAAAGCGCAUGAAACUCAAAUUAUUUUUGGGAUUAGAAUAAUUAUAUUGAAAAAUAAAAAGUUGGGUUUCCAAUUUCCUAUAUUUUUCAUAUUAGCAAUCCAUAACACAAGUUUCCGGGGAAGAAGCUGUGGCGUGCGGACAGGAGGAUAGAAAACUUGCAAUGUGGGACCACAGCACGUCAACCUUAAUAACUUCUUGGACCCCACUUGUCCCCUUCAUUUGAUUCAUUCCUUCUGCAAUUUUUGUCCUUGACAUGAUCGUUUUCCAUGGCCUAACCAUUUAGCUUUGUGAGAAAACCUGAUCUUCUUUGCUAAUAUUGUUUAUCUUCUUUGGCUACUUUAAUGGUAAAGUUCAAAAAUAAAAUAAUAAUAAAGGCACAUUGGAAACCAAUUGUAAUGAUCAAUGUUACACAGCAUACUGCAAAAAUUGAAAUAGGAUAGGCACUUUAGAAUGACUAAAUCGAAGAGAGUGAAAGCAAUAAGUAGGCUACAACUAUAAGCAUUCAUUGGGGGUCAGAUCAGAACAUAUGUGCCAUUUACCAAUUAGGCCAUCGGUGGAAAGCGUUAAAACCAAUUCCACGUGUCCUGACCUUAAUACAACACCCUUAAACCAACGGCCAUGAAAUAUUUACCAGUCGGGUUGAGGUUUAGUGGUAAAUGUGGCCAACAGCUAACGUUAAAAGCACAUUUUGCGUGACAGAUAAGGCAAACCGGUCAGCUAUCACAUCACCAACUCAAAAUACAUACGAAAACACACUAAUUAGUAAUUACGUAAUUACGACCGAGGAUUCACGAUUCAUCCGCCGGGUUGACUCCCGGCGAAAUUUUAGUCGCUGUGGACCUCCAAGCUCACAAAUGAAAACUUGCUACCGCUGGAAACAUCACUCUCCGAGCACUCUUUUUCCAGCCCUUUUAUUGCUAAAACGAGAUUUCCGAUUUCCACAUUUUCUGGUGAGGUCGUCCCAUUUCCGACGUCUCGGGUUGGAGAAGGGGAGGGAGUGAAGUAAGGUGGAGAAGCACAAGGCGUCGAAAACGGUGUCACUUCGUCCACACCAACGGCCACAGUCAACUCUGGCAAUUCAUCAGCAACCCUUAAACAUUCCCCCAGUGAUACACUUUUUGUCUCCGCAGACAAUGAUUUGUCAGUUGCUUGUGGCUCCAUUUCUUCCCUCUCCUCCUCCUUGAUGGUGAACAAAACCCUUGAAGAACCAUACAAUCCCUGCCAUUUAAGGACGUCAACGUCGUUGAUCUCCUCCGACGGCACUCUACCGGGCCUGGUAGCAGGAUGGGCGUGGGGAUCGGCGUGGGGUUCGAUGCGGGACUGGCGUUUCCAGCAGAAAAAGUAGAGGAGCUCCUUGGAGGGGAUGGAGAAAGGGUCUCCUGGAAACUCAGGGUGGCCGGCGGUGGAGUUCUGACGCCUGAAUCGUUUCCGGUACCAGUAAACGUGGAAGAGUUGGGUGCCUAUGACAAGGAGGAAGACUGCAAACACCACGAUGAGAACGAUGCAUAACUUGCUCAGACCGAUCAUGUUUCUCCAACACUCUCUGUUGAGUCUUCCUCCUCAGCGUUUUGUCUCUUUUAAGAAACUGAGACACUUGCGUCCUGUAGCAGGUAGCCGGUAACCUCAACGGAUUAAUGCUGACGUGUAUAUUCGACAAAUUUAUCAUUAGAAAAUUCUGUGGGGAAGAGUAAAAAUGACGUGUGGGAUGGAGUAGUGAUGACGUGGCAUCGAUGUCUGGAUCGUUGACUUGGGUGGGCCCAAAAAAAAUGGCGUAAUCAUCUGGGGUGCUGCCCAAAUACCAUUGGAUGGUGGACUAGGAGCUUGAACCAAGGCCCAUUUUAACGAUGCUGGGAUAUUGCAAAUAAAUUGGCCCAUUCACAUGGCUUGUAAUUCUCAAGCCCCCUCAACAAGUCGAUAGUUUUCUAGAGUUCUGAACCUCCGCGGGACUAGGAUCCAGGUGUCAUAGGCGGGAGCUUUUGAUCAUUAUUAUUUCGCAUUUUGCUAUAAUAUACAGCGCCAAGGAGAGCCCAGGUAGAUCACAGGCUUGGGCAGGCCUAAUCAUAGGCCAAAAUCAAGCUCAAGGUUAAAUUCAAUGAAACAGAGAGACUAGAUUAAAUUCAACGAACCAAUCUAAGCCCAUUUUCUAGAGCAGUGUGAGUCUUGUUCAGGCAAGAGGAGGCCUUGAGGUUAUUUCAAUGCCAAAUGUGACUGAAAACUGGGCCAUUUGAGAUCCAUCGCCUUCCACCAUGGGCAUCCUUGUUGUCACGGCCCAGAUGCAGUAUCGAGAAGCAAUAGGUAGCCAAUUUGAAGGAAAAGAUUAGGACCAGGGCUGAAGAGGUCUCGGGCCCAUACCAUAUUGCUGCUAAACUUAGAUGAUUUAAAGCCCUUUUUGAUAGCUAUUUUCGAAAACAAUAUUUUAUUAUCUAAAAUAAAAGAACAGGAAACACAUUUAAUAAUAAAAAAAUAGAAAAUAAUUUUUUCUUCUUAAACAUAGAAAAUGUGAUGUUUUCAAAAGAACCAUUCUUUUAAUGGUUUUUAAUUGUUUUCAUAUGAAAUUUAUUUUUAAAAAUAUAGAAAUUAGGUUAAAAACAUGUCAAGUUUUCAAACUGAUUUUUAUUUUGCAAAACAUUAAAGAAUAAUUUUCGAAAAUUAUUUCAAAAAACUGUUUUUGAAAGCACUUAAAAUAGAGCGGUCUGGUGGCAUACGGGGCAGGGCAAGUGAAAAGGAAUUCAAGACAAAUAGUGGGCUGGUCCAAAGUAUUGAUUGGGCCGGAGGACUGAUAGCCCUACCCAUGAAAAGCAAUAGCUGAGAGAGUAAACGUUAAAAAUCUAAAACUGAGCUGGCACACUGUUACGUGAAAGCGUGAUAUCUUCUCCAAUCAUGUAAAGUUGAGAGGAAGAUCCAAUGAUUUAGACAGCAGAAAUUAUUUGGAGAAGCAUCAGUGUAAUGGGUGUUUUUCCAUGUUGGGCUUCACCACAACCGUGAUGCAAAGACCAUUAUGGUUUUUGGUGAUCUCAAUGCUGUGUUUCAUGGCAUCAUUGGAAUCACAGAUACCCAAAACCGUGAGGGAGCAUGGAAGCACAAAGUGCUAAAAUCAAACAGAAUAGAGCACCCUUUUGCUUUUAGAAUCUUUUAUUUCCGGAAAGGUUUUUCGCCAUACAAUUUUCAUACUCUUCAUUUUGACACGGCAUAGUUUUUCUUGGUCACUAACGUCUAAAUCUAUUAAAUCAUAUUAUAUGAAGUGUCUCGGGGCAAUGGAACGAUAGUCUGAGACAAUAUUUGAUGAGGGCUUCAUCACGGCAGGGGGCUAGAAAGUAACAUGGCAACCA
rnacentral:lncRNA from 1 species